UCGCGACCCAAAGGAAGGCAGCCAUUUCCUAAGGCGUUUGAGACUCGAAGAGUCUGGUUUUGGUAGAAAAUUUGGUGGAUGAUGUAAGGGUUCUCGGAUAUGGUGAGAAUUGUAGUGUUAUGGAGGCAGGAAACGUUGAACCCAAGGUAGCCACAGAGAGGGUCUUGCAGGCCUUCAAUAUAAAAUGGGAAGCCUAUAUUUAAACCACCGCAGGUUCUGCUCAGGCUGCAGGUCUUGAAGUAUGGAUCCACGCAUAGUGAUUUUUCUAUGACUAAUAAUAAAGCAAAAAUGGUUGAAAUUAUAAAUGGAGGGGAGGAUGACUUGAAGAACAUGAACAGGCCGUGAACCAUUAGGAUACAGAUGCAAAUACUGGGGAGGAUGGAUGGUGAAUGUGAAAGACCUGUGCCUUUUUGGACUAUAAUAUUCGAUAGUCCCCAGCAUAUCAUUCAGACUUCUUACUGGUAAACAAUCAAGGGGGUUGACUUGACUUGCUUAUAAAAUGGCUCUGAACGCCUUCUUUGCGGGGCGGGUCCAAUCCAGCUGUUUUAAUAGGGCCGGCUGGAGUAUUGGAUUAGUCUCUGUUUUGAAACAAAAUCUAGUUCUUUGAUUACACGGGUCUACCAAAUUCUUCACAUUCCUCUUUGCUUAAAAACUAAAAACUAAAUGGAUUUACUUCAUUUUAGUUUCUGAAUUACCUUACAGCACCAACUCACUGUCAUUUCCUCCGGCUAAUCUUUUCACACAAUCAGUUAAUUGACUGGGUGCAUUCACAUUCAGUUGGGUAAUCUUGAUUUCUUGAGAGGGUUUCCAAUCAGGGUGGACUACAGCAAGAUUCACGCCGUUGCAACAUUAAUAUUUUCAUACAUGUGAAGGUAAUAUCCAAUACAAUAGAAACUUGCAUAAAAGGCAGUGGAGGAGCCAGGGAAUUAGUUUAGAGGGGACCAGAGUUAUGAAUUUAUUUCAGAUGGCGAAAAUAAGAAAAUCUGAAACAGAUCUAGGGGAUUAGUGACGAAGUGGCAGUCAUGUAAAAGGCCUGGAGGAUCAUCAAUCAUUCAUUAUUCAGAACUUAAAAUCUGGGGAAAUUUAAAAUAUAACAAGAAAAAAAUGAUCACAUAUAUUUAUAGAUAUCAUAGAACACUACUUAUAACAACAAUGUAAUUUUUAGAUCCGGUUAAGGGGUUGGCUUGUAUACACCAUUGAUUGGAGCCAAAAUAUGUGCUCUAAUGACACAUAUUCGAUAUGAUUUGUGCACCAAAGGACAUUCAAAUCACCCAACUUGACCUAAAUCAAUGCUAAGACCCUAGCCAUGAGUUUAAUUUGUACUUUGGAGACUUAUCUCAGGUUCAAGGGAAGAAAAUGGUGCAAAUUGAAUGACUUUAGAUUUUGAAAGACCAAGAAAUGGCUAAAUGAGGAAAUAAGUGAGUCAAGACUCAUGAAACUUAAGGAAAGGCAAGACGAGGAUAUCAUGAGUUUGGAAGAUCAGAAAUGACCAUUAUGGAGUAAGAAAGAAGGCAAGAAAGCGUGGGAAAUGAGGCAUGAAGCAAGAUUUAGUUGCAUGGAAAUUUAGAACUCAAAAAUCUAAUGACAUUAUAUACUCUGAUUUUGAGAACAAAUUUAGAGCACUUCAUAGAGUCCAUUGUAUAUAUACUAUAUAUCGUUUCGAAGUUUGAGAAGUCAGGAGUCCAACGCUUCAAACGGUGUACAAAUCAGAACUGAAAUGAAGAAGUUAUGGCCAUUUGAAGACAACUGUACCAAGUUGGAGGGUCAUUUCGAAAUGAUUUCGAAAUUCAACUUAUGAAUUCGAAAUCCACUUCGAAAUGACACCAAUUUCGAAUUCACCCACUGCUAGUUUGAUGUUUCGCCUUCUCUACCUCGGGAAUUAUAACUAGAGCACUCCAUCCGCCCUAAGUGGACCCCACACGACUAGAAAUCACCAUUUUAUUAUUUUUUAAUCAUUUUUAGGAAAUUAUUUUGUAAUAAGUGGUCAAUGAGAGUGCCACAUGUUAGGUAAUUGAUGGUAUUAUAUAAACUCUCUCAAUUCUAGGUUUUAGAGAUCUUGGAUUUUUUUCUAAAGAGUUUGACAUUGAAGGUGGAAGAAAACGAGAACUUUGGUUUGUUUUCUUUUUCUUCUUUAUUAAAUAUAUUGUUUUUAGUUUCUUUUUAUUCAAAUUAUGGAUUUUUACCCUAUUAUGGAUUGUGAACAUGACAUCACCCCUAUGAGAGGCUAAGAACUAACUUGGGGCUUGAAGCAUGAAAACCUAAGAGCUAGGAAACCUAUAGGAACAAUGGAUAAAUUAUUAUAAUAAUGAGAUUAAUUAUUGGCUGGGUGACAAUUUAUCAUUUUUUUAUCCUAUCCUUGUGAGUUCGUUUAAGGAAUGAUACGGUAAGUUAUUAUCUGAUACUAGUGAUUCUUGGUAAUUCUUGAUCAUUAGUUAUCCUCGUUUUCUCUACCGUUAUUUGCCCCUAAACAAAGCUAUAAGGAGUAGGAAGGGUUAAAAAGCCAAAUCUUAAAUUGGUAAUCAAUCUCAUUCAUUUGAUGGUUUUUGGAAUCUGUUUUAAAAAGGAAAAAUUAGGUUUCAGAUGCAAUUUUGAGUUAUAGAACUCAACUUGAUCGUGAGCGGCCAAGGAUCCCAAAACCGUAAGAUCAUAUUACUUAAAAGACCCCUGUUUUAUCUAAUUUCUAUACCCUAGGUUGGAUUGUGGAAAACCCCAAACUUAAAUCAAUUGAAUUUAAAAUCAAUAUUCAUUUUUUUUAUUAAUUUAAUUUCUUUUACUUAGUUUCAUAUUAUUCACAUAUUGUUUUUCACUUUAGGAUUUAAACAAAAACAAUUCAUUUAUUCUAGUAUUGACAAUUUUCAUAAGCCAGUCCUUGAUGACGAUACCCGAAAUACUACAAAAGCCGUAAUGACUCUUUCUCUAGUUUUUCUUGACCAAAGUUACUACGUAAAAAAGCUAAGUACUUUGGUAUAAUAGAGAAGUUCGGUCAACCAUAAGCUCACUAUUCUCUUCAUUCUCUUUGCAGUCGUUCUUUCUUCUUCAUUCAUAAGGCCAUGCAUCCAAGUCCAUCUAGUUCAAAGCACUUGUAUAUAUAUCCAAUGUAGAAAAUAUAUUUCACUGGUAAGAUAAAUUUCAAUGUCAAUACUUUUUCUUCCUCCAACCAUUUCUAAAACAAUCAUUCCAUAACCAUACACAUGAUUUUUGGGGGGACAACCCCAAAACCUCUACAAAAUACCUUGGGAGCAAUAUGUCUAGUAGUUCCUCUUGCACCUAACUUGGAUGUGAUACUCUUUUUCCUGGUACAUAGUUUCGCAAGCCCAAAAUCUGAAAUCUUUAGGAAAAAAUCUUCAAUAAAAAGAAUGUUAUCAGGCUUUUUGUCUUAGGACAAUAAAAAUAAAAUCAAAAUUGUAUUUGAAAGAUAUGGUUUGCGGUUGGCAGCCCUCUUCAAAUCCCUCUUUCCUUUUCCUAGGUGAUAAGAAUUUUUUUCUUUAUUGGUUUUGCCAAGCCUGACAUCAUAAUGGCAAAUGACUAGUAUUGUUAAGUACUCUAGUCCUCAAGCCACGUUGAUAGCAAUAUUAUACAAGGUUACCCAUCCCAAUCAAUCAUUUGUUUCUGAAUGAUUUCCAUCAUGCAUAUAUGAUCUUCUCAAGAGAUCUAUUAGGGAUGAAUUCAUUUAUAUCAAAACUUGUCUUCGUCACUCAAUGCAAAAGCCAAUAAGUUACCAUAUAUUGACAUGGCAAGUCCUACCAAUACUUGCAAUCUCAUUGAUAAAUUCUUCUCCAUUAUCUUUUGUAUCACUCAAGACCUUUCACUACUAUAGUUCUAUCCAUCAAGCAACUUUCCUUCAUAAAUACCACCAUAUCCUCAUUCCACGAGUUUAUCUUUGAAUCAUUUGGUCAUUCUUUUAACAUCAAAAUAAUUAUAUACCUUGCUUUGGAGCAAGAGAUCCAUGGUUUCUAAGCAAGAUAUCUCUAUAUUUUUAUGUUAAAAAAAAAAAAAUCAAAUACACAAUUAUAAAAUUAUAAAAAAAAAAUGAAAACAAUAAAAAUAACAUUUUAUAAAACUGAUUUUAUUAAGUCAAGUAAACAUAUUUAAAAAUCAAACACGCAAUUAUAAAAUUGUAAAAGAAAGAAAAUAAUAAAAAAAAGAAAUCAUAGAACUAUCUUUAUUUAGUAUAUUGAACAUAAUUUUUUAGAAUAAAAAAGUAUUUUUAAAAAUUCAAAAUUCGAAUAUAAUUUUGUUUUUGUUGAAAUGUAUCAAUGUCAAUCUAUAAUUUAAGAAUAAGUCACUAAAAUAAUGAUGGUUGUAUGCCGUAAAAGAUUUAUGUCACUUUCAUUGGAAACUAGUUGCUUUUCAAAUUUGAAAGGGUUGAGGUUGGAUCCAAAAAUCAUAGGUCAUGGACAAUGUACCUCUCAAAAGAAGAAAUAUGAUAAGAAGAAAUGAAAUAUAAUAUUAAAUAAAAAACUGAUUUUUAGAAAGAAUUGCUUUACAAAAUAAUAAUUGAAUUGGACUUGGUAAAUGAGCAUUAAAUAGGUUACCUAAUGAAGUAAUGAACUUUUUGACCCAAGUUUUCUAAGGAGUUUCCUACUUGCAUCCCUAUUGACUAAGACUGAUUCUUAGAAAGAAUUGCUUUACAAAAUCAUAAUUGAAUUGGACUUGGAAAAUGAGCAUUAAAUAGGUUACCUAAUGAAAUAAUGAGCUUUUUGACCCAAGUCUUCUGAGGAGUUUCCUACUUGCAUCCCCAUUGACAAACUCCCUCACACAUACUAAGAUUACAAACUGGAAUUAUAAUAGUUGAUGAUAAUUAUUUCCCUAAUAAGAAAAACUCCAAUGUUAACAUAAUUUUUUUUUCCUUUAGUUAUUUUAAUUUCUAAAUCACUAUUCUACCUUCAUAAACAUCAUACUCAUACUAAAUUAAAACAAAUGAAGGAAAAAAAAUGUUAUAUUAACAAUGGGGAUUUAUCCAAAAUCCAAACAAAAUUAUUUUAAUAUUGGAUAUAAAAUCUCUAAAAUAACUUUGAGAGAAUAUAUCCAAAAUUCUGAUUGGAGAUUCCACAUGCUAAAUUAUACCAAGGUAGUUUGUCUUUAUAUAAACAAAAUAAACUAUAUCAUAAGGCUUGUUAUUCAAUCUAGUUGGAAAUAGUAUUCCAAGCAAACAGUACCUUAACCUCAGAGUGAAUUAGGCAAGUAGUGGUAGAGUCAGAAUUUUGUUUGAGAGGGUAAGGAUUUGUUAGUCAAUAAGAAGUGAUUUUCAAAUGAUCCACAAAAUUAACUUAUAGAGGAAUUUGAUUAUCAUCAACUAACAAUUUGAAAUGACAUGUAGUAAAAAUGUCUAGACUUGAAAGAGCAUUAGUUAUCCAUCAUUCAGAACUUCAAAUCUGGAAUAAAUUGAAAUCAACUUGCAGGAAAAAAAAAGGACAUACAUGUAUAUACAUUACAGAUGAGCAACUUCAUGAUACAGAGGCAAUCGAUAAAUCCCUCAUUGAUCUUGGAGGAGAAUACAAGAAAGGCUUUGGUGGGAUUUGCAAUGAUUCAAGGCUUCCUUCCAACAUAUCUACCACUCCAUUCAUUGGUGGCCGAUUUGAGGGGUUGGUUUGUAUGCACCACAAGCUCACUAUUAUCAUCUUCCUUGCACUCGUUCUUUCCUCCUCAUUCAUAAACCCCUGCAAUCCAAGUUCUUCAUCUAAUUCAAGGCGCUUGUAUAUCCAAUGAGGAAAAUAUAUUUCACUGGUAUGGUUAAUUCCAUCAUCAAUAUUCUUUCUUCCACCAACCAUUUCUAAAACCAUCAUUCCAUAGCUGUAAACAUCGGACUUGGGGGAGACAUCUCCGAAAUUCCUACAGAAUACCUCAGGAGCAAUAUAUCCGGCAGUUCCUCUUGCACCUGACAUGGAAACGAUGCUCUCUUUUCGAGUACAUAGCUUUGAAAGACCAAAAUCAGAGAUUUUUGGGCAAAAAUCCUGAUUUAAAAGAAUGUUAUGAGGCUUUAUGUCCAAAUGUAAAAUUCGUGUGUUACAACCUCGGUGUAAGUACUCUAGGCCUCGAGCUAUGCCAAUGGCAAUAUUGUACAAUGUUUCCCACCCUAAUUUGUCAUAUGUCAUUGAAGAAUUUUUGUCAUAUAUGAACUUCUCUAGAGACCCAUUAGGCAUGAACUCAUAAAUUAGAGCUCUUUUUGAACCUUGAAAGCAGAAGCCUAGGAGACUCACGAUGUUGACAUGGGAAGUCCUACUAAUGCUUGCAAUCUCAUUGAUAAAUUCUUCUCCAUUGCCUUUUGUUUCACUCAAGACCUUCACAGCCACUAGAUCACCGUUGAGGAGCUUUCCUUUGUACACUGCACCAUAUCCUCCUUCUCCUACUCUAUCUUUGAAUGAGCUUGUCAUUUUUUGAACUUCUGAAUAACGAUAUCUCUUUGGAGCUAGGGAUUCGUGGUUUCUUAAAAAGGUCUCUACAUUUAGAUGAUUCCCUGUUUGCUUCUCCUUGAAGAUUGAUCUGAAUUUUUUGCUGAAGUAGAAAGUUAGUGCUAACGGGAUUCCGAUUCCAGUAAUUGAGAUGGCUGUAAUAAGAGAAAAGGCAUAUCACAUGGUACACAAAUAACCAUGAUAUUUAAUUAAGAUAUUAUGAACUAUUACUAUUGCACAAGAAAGAGAACAUCGUUAUGCUACACAUAUAGGAUGAGACAUGUUUGGUUCUUGAAAAAAUUGAGGGAAAAUGCAAGUGAAUGAAAAUAAAGAAGAAAAUAAGAAUUUAAUAUUAAUAAAUUAUUUUUCCAUGUUUCUUUAAACUUGUUUCACUUCUCAUUCUUUUUUAUAUAAAGAUUAAAUAAUUUAAAAAAACGUAAAAUUUUAAAUAAUUUUAAUUAUAUUUAAUUUUUUUUUAUAUUCUUUUAUAAAUUAAAUGUAAAAAAAUCAUUUUCCUUAAUAUUUUUUUUUUUCCUUUCCUUAACACUUCUUUAGAACCAAACAGAAUCUUAAAAAUCUCUUUCUUAGGUGGUCUUAUAUUAAGGUUUUACAAACCACUUGAGAAAGCCCUAGUUUCAUAGGGUCGAAAACUUGUUAUUUUUCUGAACACCAAGUUAUAGCACUGCCAUAUGAUAAAUAAACAAAUUAUUAAGAGGGUAAUGCUUCCGACAUUGAUACCUAUAGUGGGCAAAAAGACAAUAGUUAAACUUAAUGCCAACUACAUUAAUGCUAAGAGAGUUUUCUACUAAGGACAUAUGGAAACAUAUACAUAGAAGAAUUGGAUGUUAACAAGGUCAUGUUUAAAGAUCUUAGUGGAAAUCGAUUUUGUAUUGUUAACCCACAAAGAAGAUGGUGAGAAAUUGAAAUUCGAUCAUUACCAAAAGCCCCAGUAAAAGAAAAUUUUCCUUAUAUUUAUAACAGAUAAACUCAUUUCAAAUGCUAAAAAGUGCAAUAGAUUAUGAAUUAAUUGGAUUCAGUUGGUGUCCAAACACAUGCAGAGAACAAAUAUUUUUAUCCACGAGAAUCUUGCUAAAGAAAUAUAUUACCUAAUCCUAGGGCUAGCUUCAGUGUCUUGUCAUUCCCUGCAAGACAAGUAACAAAUAGCAACAAUAUUAGUUUAAACAGUAAACAUUGUAUUAAUCUACAUCAUAUCGUAUUCUCCAGAACGUUAAAGAGUACACUCAUAAAAAGAAGAGUCAAAACCUGCUUCCGCAAAUCUAAUAUAUAUUACAUUGCACAAACAUCAAUUUUCUCAUACCAGAGCCCUACAGUUAGAAGAGAGGAAUUCAUGCUACAUACCAAGCAGCAGGUUAUGUAAAUGCAAACGACGAAAAAAAAAAGGAAAAAAAAAUGAAAAAGAACAGAGGAAAGGAAUAAGAAAAGAGAUUGUUAUAUAUGUUGUGCACCUGUAUGUGCACACCGGAAUUUUCCCUCGUCAUCUCGGCAUUGGCCUCCACUAAAGUGACACUUCCGACAUUCGCGGGACAGAUGCACUUCAAGAGUGAUAUCAGAAGUCAACAGGGCAACCAGGUUGUCCAUUCCUAAACUCAUGUUUAUUGGAUACUGAAUAAUAGAACAGUCCAGUGGAGGUGGAGCUGGAAGAGUGGGAGUAUGGUUUGGUUGAUUAUGAGGUAGAGGUGGAAGAAGGGAAGUAUGAUUUGGAUGAUUAUAGUGGAUAAUGUAGUCUUGACAACCGGUAUAAGUAUGGUCUGUAGUAAGAUCAAUAUUGAGAUUACGGUGGCAUUUGAACAGGGUUAGUUCGGCUAGAGGGGGUACUGGUUUGAAAGAAACAGAAGGAGAACGGAAACGAGUUAAGUUAUCAAUGAAUUCACAUAUGCCGCGUUGCAAGUGCUCUUGAAGCCGCUCAUCUUGAAUUACUAUGGUAUCAGCCUGAGAGAUGUUUUUCAACCCAAAAUAUCUUCCGCCCCUUUCCAGUUGGAUCCGUGGAAGCUCUUCAGUACAUCGUACUAUUGUGCACAAUCCGCAUUCUGAGUUUGUUUCAUUUUUGAAGGGAAAGUGAAGCCGGCCCAGUUUUUCACAGUCAAAGGGUGGACAAGUUGGAGGGUGUUUCCUUUCUUCUUCAGCAGAAGAAAGAAGCACAGAGUGAGAGAGAAGAAAUAGAACUAGAAAAGAAACAGAACCCAUGCGAAAUCCCCAAUUCAACAACAAAAGCAUUGGCACCAUACCGACAGAAACAAGGUAAUCCUCCUCUCCCUUUAUUUAAACAAUGUUUUCUCUCUUUUAUCUGCUUAGCACGGCAGUUGACUUGGAAAUAAGAUACAAGAAUACUUGGGAAAGAGACUUUCUACAGGAUGGGCCAAGAGUCUCUGCUAGCCCAUGUGAAAGGAGUUUCCUUCUCCAUUGCUUAGAAAGACUUGACUUGAUACAACGGUUAAUGUUCAAAAUCACUGACAGUAUUUAACAAAGUCACGAGGACAUAAAAAAAAAAAAAAAAAAAAAAAAAAAAAAAAAAAAAAGAGAGACAAUUGUAUUUUGGACUCAAUUGAACUCAAAAAUUAAGAUUUGAUUUAUAAAAGUUGUAUAAUUGAUGGGGAUGAUAUAAAAUAUGAAGAGACCAAUAUACCAUUUAAAACUAUUUUCUAUCAAUAUGUUUGAGAAACUUUUUUAUCUUAAAUUUUUUUUUAAUAAUUAUUUUGAAAUUUUAUUAUUUUUAGAAAACUAACUUUAAAAAAAAAUUAUUAUAAAAAUUUAUUAUUUUAAAAAAAAUAAAUUUGUCAUAUUUUUAGUUAUUUUUUAUAUACAUAAUUUUUAAAAUAUAUAUUUUCCAAAGAUGUUUGAUUUUUAAAUAAUAAUAUUUUAUUUUUAUUUUUUUUGGAAAAGAAUUUUUUUUUUCAAAUCACUAAAUUAUAUUAAAUUUUAUUGAAGUUUGCAAAAGGAAUAAAAUUUAAAUUAAUAUUUUUUUACUCUUUUUUUCAUAGUCAAUAAAUGUCAUUUUUGGAAAGAUAAAAAAUUCAUAUAUUUCUUCUCAAUUUUCACACUUUCUCUAAGUCUUGGAUUUAAAUAGUGAACUUAUAUGGAUCAAAACUUAAUUUUUGGGCCCAACUAGGUCCAAAAUACAAUUGCCCCUAAAAAAUUAUUGGUCUUGUGGAGCAAAAGUAGGAGACGGGGUAAAGGGAAAAGAGAAAACAUGAUAGGUCAUAGAUUAAUGGGUACUUUUGUAGUCCCUCUCGAUAUCAGGGACCCUUUCCUGGGGCAAGGGUAGGUGCUUGUGAGAGGAAUUCUAGUCUUCAUACGUAGGUAUGGUUGAAACCUCGAGUACAUGUCUAAUUGUUUUAUCUUUGUGUUUUUAAUAUAAUAAUGUUUACGUGAAAGCUUCCACUUGCAUAACAAAUAAACUAAUUUCAAAUGCUAAAAAGUGCAACAGAUUAUGUUGGUGUUUAGACACAUGCAGAAAACAAAUAUUUUUAUCCACAAGAAUCUUGGUAAAGAAGUAUAUCACCUAAUCCUAGGGCUAGCUUCAGUGUCUAUGCAAAAGAAAACAAGAGGGAAAAAAAAACAAGAAUAGAGGAAAUGAAGAGAAAAGAGGAGAGAUUGUUAAUGUGUUGUGCUCCUUUUACAUGUGCAUGACACUGGAAUUUUCCCUUUUCAUCAUCUUGGCAUUGGCCUCAUCUACGGAGACAAUUCCAUCAACAGGGGAAACAGGUUAGCGAUACCUACAGUACUCAUGUUUACCGGAUACUGAAUAAUUGAACAGCCAGGUGGAGGUGGAGUUGGAGGAAUAUGAUUUGAAUGAUUAUAGUGGAUAGUGUAGUCUUGACAACUGGUAUAAUUAUACUCUGUAAUAAGAUCAAUAUUGUGACUACGGUGGCAUUUGAACAGGGUUAGAACGGUUAGGGUGGGUACUGGUGUGAAAAAAACAGAAGGAGAAGGGGAAGAAGUUAAGUUGUCGAUGAAGUCACAUACGCUAUGUUUCAAGUUCUAUUGAAGCUGCUCAUCUUGAAUUAUUAUGGUACCACCCUGGAUGUUUUUCACCUCAAAAUGUCUUCCUCCCCUUUCCAGUUGGAUCUGCGGAGUCUCUUCAGUGCAAUUUACUACUGUGCGCAAUCCGCAUUCUGGAUUUGUUUCAUUGUUGAAGGGAAAGCGAAGCCAACCUAGUUUUCCACAUUUGAACAAUGAACAAUUUGAAAGGUGUUUCCAUUCUUUUUCAGCAGAAGAAAGAAGCACGAAAUGAGAGAGAAUAAAUAGAACAAGAAAAGAAACAAAUCCCAUGCGAAAUCCCCAAUACAACAAAAGCACUGGCACCAUACCGACGGCAACAUGGUGGGCCGAGAGUCUUGGGAAAGAGACUUUCUCCGGGUGGGCCAAGAGUCUUUAGUAGCCCAUGUGAAAUAGGCCAUCAUUUUCCAUUGGCCAACAAAUAGACACCCCAAUCCACAAUGGGAGUUUCCAACUCACCUUCUUCAUCGCUUAGAAAGAAUUGACUUGCUGCGGUUCUUAAUGCUCAAAAUCAGGACAUAAAAACAGUGGGGUCUUGUGGAGCAAAAGUAGAAGACGGGGUAAAGGGAAAAGAUAAAACAUGAUAGGUCAUAGAUUAAUGGGUACUUUGGUAGUCCCUCGAUAUCAAGGAACCCUUUCCUGGGGCAAGGGUAGGUGCGUGUGAGAGGAAUUCUAGUCUUCAUAUGUUUUGACACUCUGGCUAAGGCUUUUCCUUAGUUUCAGGGAUUCGCACCUCCCUUUUCUGUGGAUAAAAAUAAAACUCAAAGAUAGUAUACGGUCCAACGUCAGGUUGGUCGACUUGCUUAUUAACCCAUAACAAGGAAAGGGUUAAAAUAAGCCAUAAGACAUGAGAACUAAAACCAAACCAGUCUGGAAGGAAUGAAGGAACCUUCCUGUUCUCAUUUCGUAGAGUGCAUAAUUUUCAAAAAUUUACCAAAAGAACCAAAUAAUAAAUAAAAGUUAGAAAAGGCAGUUAGUCAUUCUUUGCCUCGCCGUCAUUGCAAUGUUUGGUAUGAGGUCGAUCAGGGCAAAAACACACUGCAUCAUUAUUUUCAUCAGACCCACGACCAAUGCUUAGUUGGCACUCAAUGCAGUUGAUACCAGUCCAUUCAAGACUAAAUCCAUUCUUCAGUAACUCUAUGUAGUCCAUACUCUCCACUGUUUGAUCAUACUGCCUUUUGGAUGUUGUAAAGAGAGGUUUAUUUUCUUCAUAAAAAAUUCCAAAGCCUGGUAGCCACAGAAGCCUGUUCCUGUAUUAUAGAUAUCAAACGGGUAGCUUAAGUUUGGGCCACUCCAACUGUUCUUAGGCUUGCAUGCUUCACACUUGUGGACAACUGGUGCAUAUAAUUCCACUACAAAGGUGCAAAUGAGGAUACUGAUCCCAACAUAGAACAAGUAGUGUAGACCCAUUUGGAUGGCCAUUGUUGAAGAACAAGGAGCCGAGAGAAAAAGGACCUAUGAAGGCAUGCCGCGUGAAGAGUAACUCAGAAUGACAUAAAUAAGUCACCGUCAAUGAUUCCAAAAUCUUUCUCACCAUCGAGUGUUUAAUUUGACUGGAUUUGAAAUGCUUCAUCUAGAGUUCAAAUAUUGUACAAUAUCUUUUAGUUUUUCACAGUGGAAGGGUGGACAAUUUGGAGGGUAUUUCCUUUCUUCUCCCGCAGGGGAAAGAAACACAGGAUGGGAGAGAAACAAGAUGAGAAAGGAAGCAGUGGCCACUCAAAGUGAACACCAAGAAGCAGAAGAAUUGACUUCUCCCAACUUUUUAUUAGAAUUUCAUCAAAGACUAGUGGAAACUGACUGGUUGGUGUUGGGGAAAAAAAAAAAAUCCCGCAUACUGAAUGGGCCAGAGAUCAUACAGCCUUGCCUUGUGUCACGUGUCACUUCACCAUUUUUUUUUUUUCAUAAUUCGCCCUUCCAAAGAAUUUGGGCAAGAAGAUGAACAAGCACGGGACUCCUGUUGCCGUUCUCUUAUUUUCGGUUCUUUCAACUGGUACGUGGAUUUUCUAGAAAUACUGAUCUUUUUUCUAAUUGCUGGCCAAAGUCUCCACUGGGGUAGUAUCCGACUCACCUCCCCCUAUGGAAAGACUCGACUCCUUUAGUAUUUUGCAAGCCACAAAUAGAUAAGCACAAGCCUUUUGUGGAAGUUUGAAACGUCAAGAUGAGAAAUUCUCACCUAGCAUCUCCUGCCUCUCUGCUCUCUGAUUCAGUUUGAGCUCCUCCUUUGGCAGGCCAUUUGUUGCCUUGUAGCGUCAAGCGUGGAUAUUAGUUUAGGACUAGAACAUCAUAUCGUAUUCAUCACCCUCUCCAAUAUAGCCUUGGGUUGGGUCCUGCCACUAUGAAUGGAACUUCUGGAUAUCUGAAAAUGUGAUCUCGUUCCAAAUACGACUCUUUUAUAAUGCCUCCAACUUAGGUCUCCUACUGCAGACCAGACUACUUGUUUUUCAUGUGUACUUUCUGUGUCAAAUUUUAAUAAACAUUAAAUUCAUCUACAUGAACUUCAAAACAGUCAUAUGGAGCAUACCCUUGCAUAAGCUUAAUAUCCUAGGUUGGAACAAAUUGAUAGGAUCCCUUUUUUACGUCCCCGUGUAAUUUAAAUGCAUUGAGUCUUGCUUUGCACUUGGAAACUAGGCACACACCAUCCAGGUUUUGUAAAGCAUCUUAAGCAGGUACUACCAAAGAAUCUAUGCCAUAAGUUAAAUUGAUAUAAGCAUUCACUUCAACCACCAUUUGUAUACCAGCAGAGUUGAGGGUAGCUUCAGAUCUCGGAAGACACAUCCCAAAACACAAUUUAGGAGUUCCUAAAACUAACUCUUCUUCAGAUAAUGAAACUAAUUUUGCAUUAUUUGGAGAGAUUACAUAUACAUUUGACACAACAUUGUAGUGAGAUUCAAACAAUUGCCCCAGUUGAGGAAAAUGGGAUUAAAAGAAUAGACUGAAGGGGAAAAAAUGAGGCAAAACAAUAACAGAGUUAUACAACUUUAAUUCCACUGGGACGUUUUCCUUCCAUGGCAUCCUUCUUAUUACGGCAAUCAGCACAAAGAAAUGGCCCCUGCCAGGGCUUUGAGCUGGUGGAGAAGAUGGAACCAGCAUGAACAGAAAUGCCCUCGCUUGGAGCAAGAUCAACUUGGCAAACAGCACACAUGAAAAGACCAGAUGUAGGCUGCCCUGGGCACUCCUCACUUCCCAGUCUGCAAAGCAUGCAAUGGAGGGGAGAAAUUUCCCUUCAGUAUUUUACACCACAAGAAACAAAAGAAUGGAAAAACAAUAUCCAAAUGAAAGACCAAAUGAAUAAGAUAAUUAAAUUUUACAGAGGAGCAAACAAGAACAUGAAUUCCCAUAUUGUGAAACUGCAAAGAAAGGUAUAUCAUGGAGCAAACUCCAGUGAGAAUUAAGAUGAAAAUCUGUAAUAUUGCAGUCUCACUAAAGAAAAUGGUCUUAUUAAUGGUAAUCUUCAAACUAUUCAUGCUAUUCUCUGACCAUGAACUCUUGGAUAUCAGAUAUUGGCUUAUAUGAAACACAUGUUGGUUCCUAUACUGACUGAAAAUCUUCUUCCAGAAAACCUAUGAUGUGGUGGGACACUGGCCCAUUGGAAAGGUAAAAUACAGUCUGCUAUAGCUAGAUCUGGUACAAAGAAAAAAAAAACUAAUCCAUGGCACAUUAACAAUCAAGUCACGAUUUGUCUUCACCUUCUAGUGUGACAACCACUGAAGCAACAAGCAUUGGACAUAACCUGAUUCAAUCUAAUGAAGCAAAAUACAUUAAAACUGACUCACUUAACUAGAGAGAAGCUUAAAAGCAAUCCCAUUCGGACGCAUUAUUUGAGGCUGUACAGCAAUAAACAGAUAUUUUAAUUAAAGGAGUGAGCAUUCCUCUGCUCCAUAUUAAUCUUAACCUGUUGGCAUUGCCAACAUUCUAUACUCCAACUUCAAUGGUAAUGUCAAUCAGUUAAUAAACAAAGUAGUCAAUAUUGCUUUAUUAGAGGGUAUCUAUGCAACUUAACAUCAUAAAUUACAAAUAAAUAAUUAGACAGGAGAAAAUACAAGAUCCACCAUCUUUCUUUCUCCUUCUAUCAUUCUUCUUUAUCCUUUUCCUUUCCUUUUAACCUACACACCUUGGAAUACUUUCUCUUAUUUCUUUCUGCUUGUCUUUAACCGACAGAAUAAGUUACUUAUGCAAAAAGAGAAAAAAAAAGGCCAAAGUUCUAUGAGAAAGAAGCUCUAGCAGAUAAAGGAACAAUUAAAAAAGAAAGAUAGCCUGCAGUGCAAGGUAGUGAGUAUCUCAGAUUGCUCUAGAAAUCAAAAUCUGUAUGUGCAAAUAAAAAAAGACUCUACUAACCUCUCAGCAAGCAUUGCUGAGCCUUCUUCAAACAGUUCUUCCACUAUACCUAUAGCUGAUAGCUUCUUUGAUAGUUUAUUCACAGAAUCACGUGACCUCUUCCUGAAUAAUAGAGCUCUGAGCUUGUUUUGCUUUUUUGGAGGAGUUGAAGGCUGUAUUGAAUUAUCAGGAGGAAUUAUGUCUACAACUAUGCAGGUAGUGUCAUCCUUUAGGCCCCUUGUCCUCAAUGCUUCCUGUACAUUGCAAUGUCAAAUGAAAUAAGAAAGAAUUCUAAGAAUCCAUUGGAAAGUACACAUACCAUAAAAUAAAAAUUUGACUUUAUCUCAUUCCUAUAUCACUGAACAGAGGCUAUGCUUAGCCACAUGUAAGAAGGUGAUGGAAAGUUCAUCCAGGACUAGUAAGGAGAAAUAGCUUGGUAAUGAGUUCAAUCACCUUCACAACUUGCCUAGCAGCAAGUUCAGCAGGCAACCCACGGCAAGAUUUUGCAGCCAUUUCUGAGCACAGAGCAUCCCAAAUGCCAUCAGAAGCAAUUAUAAGUCUCCCACCUACAUUUGAUAGCUUUUGUACCAAUGAAGGGUGUUAGGAUUCAAGUUGAUGAAAACCUAACAAUGUCCAGCUCACAAGAUGUGUUUCACAGUCAAAAGAGGUACAGUGGUGAGUUGGCAGCCUAUCAGCUUUAGAACUGCCUAAAAGGAUUCACGUUUCAUGAGCAAGUAGAACAAGCCAAAUAAAAUGAUAAAUACCUUUACUUGUUUAACAUAUGGUAUUGGAACUAUGAACUCUCCAACAUCCAUAUCUCCUAUUGACCUAGAAAGACAUAAACCCCCUGGCCAACAACGGAGCGGACCAAUCUGCAAAAUUUGACCAAUAUAUAUCACACAACAUAAAAUGAUACUUUUUAUUUUAAAACUACCAAAGAGACUACUGCGUUUGUUACCCGGAAAAAAAAAAGGAUGUGAGAACUAAAAACAACUUACUUCAGCACCACCAACAAUGCUAAGUCUUCCUACUUCACCUCCACUUGCUGUCACACGUUCCCUCCUGCAAUUGAAGAACAACCCACUUCAUAAGUAUAUAGAAACAGCCAAACAAAACAAGAGGCUCUGAGAGAUGGACACUCACUCCUCCACAUUUUCUUCAAGCCUAUGAUCGACAGUUAAGGUAGAGACAGCACCACCCUGAGUAUCUAAUAUGCAUCGAGAGUCGCCAACAGAUGCAACUGUCACAGUCCAUCCAUCAACUAUUACAAAUGUAGCAGUGGUUCCAGAAGUUUCUCCUGAAGUUAUUAAGAUGGGGAUAUAGUGCAUUAGUUUCAAGGCAUAACAAAUAUGGUUGAAAGAUAAAAAGAAAAAAGAAGAAAAGGUGAGUUCUCCAAAUUCCGUGCCUCUGCUCUGGAAUUCUUUGUCCGUCUUUACAAACCCAGCAACUAAAGCCCGAGGCAAAGCUUGAAGCCACUCCUCCCGUCCAAGCCCACGAGGCAUAGCACCCAAUACAUGAUUCAACAAAUUUUCCCUCGUAAAAAUGGCUGCGGCAUUCCCAUUGUGUCCAUCUAAGAUCUGACAAUCAGAAAGAACAGUGCCCAUCCCAUAAGAGAACAAAGAUAAACCAACCAUGUCGCAUCAAAUUAAAUGCAACUUAUCAAGUUUCAGUAAAAUCAAACACGGAAAGGAAAUUCUAAAAUUCUUUAUGUUGUUGCAUUCAUGGUAGAGAUCAUUAUAGUGACAAAGAGUACAUUACCGCAAAUACAGAAAAGGUUGAAGAAGAAUUCCCAGGGAUUCUCUGGCAAUCUGUCUUCAUCAGGAAGUAAUCCUCUCCUUUCCUAGACUGAGCAGCACACCCGUAUCUCACAGUCGGCUUCUCCAUCUUUUCACUCCUCAUCUCUCUGUUGAUCAAUGCAGCAAGAGGCACAAGAUUCCGAUGUCGUCUCCCUUCUCCCGACGCCAUUUCCAGCACACCUAUCUCUUCAAUGCAGACCCAACACCUCCAAAGCACCAAAUUCUUUAUAUCAGCGGCAUCAAUUCCCACGUCUCAAUCAAAAUCCAAAUUCAUAUUCAAUAAACCCUGAAAUGUCUUUUUAAGCUUCCGAAUCAGCAAUUCUCGUAAAUAUCACAAACCCACAAACCGCGUUGGUUCAAUAAUCACAACUCCCUAUUCAACCACAAAUCUCGAAUAUCCUCUAGAUCAACUCCAAACUAUCAGACUUGAUCUGCAUUCAUCAUCAACAAAACACAGACCAAUGUCACAGUUAAGUUCAAGGAUCUGUGGCAGAAUUUAUCAUUCAACAAUUAAACACCACCCCCUGCUCGUUUCCUCAGAAAAGUCAAGAAAAGACAAACAAACUUCACACUAAAUAUUUUUUUUUUCCCUUUUCCUACAUUUGCUCAGAAACCAAGUCCCAACAGAAAAACAAAAGUAAACCAAACUACCACGAUAUUGCCUCAAUGCCUUCGGCGACAAGCCAGUAGAUCUGACUGCGAAAACAGCCCGCGAUAAGCAAAGCAGAAAGGGAAGAAGAAAACAACACGUAAAAGAAACGCGGAUUGAUGACAAGAUAUGAACUGUAAAACGCCCAAUCUUCAAUCAACCCAAAAAAAAAAAACAAAUAAAGAAAGAAAGAAAGCAAGAAUUUUUAAGAACUAACCGGGUCAGCUUCAGAACCUCCACCUCCACCUCCACCCCACAGUCCAAAAUAAAGAUUUUUAAAAUAUUUUUGAGUGGUAGCGAAGAUAGCUUCACUUUCUUUUCAAUUGAAAGAUGGAAAGUGAGCAAUAAAGUAGCUUUGCUGACUUAAAGCAAUUUGCCCACGACUCAUAUUGCCGCUUCUGUUAAAAGUCGGUUACCCCCAAGCUCAGAAAAGAUUUUUGACAGGAAAAAAGGAAUGAUGGCUAGGGUUUUCACUUUCUGUUCCUGUUUUACCACACCCCCAGAUCCUCCUAAAGAUGGUUUUCCUUACCUGAAAGGAAGAGCCAAGAAAAAAAGAGAAAAAAAAAAAGGAAAUUGCAGAUAAAAGCUGACACCUACCCAACGGCAUUGCAAGUGUUUCUGUGGCACAGUGGCAGUAAUGAUUUGGGCAUCUACUUGGGUUCACCAACAGUACGCUACCCUCCAUUGAACUGGAGACUUCAAACAUCCACAUACAUACAUGUUCAAAAAAAGUUGAUCAUAAAUUAAAAAGCUUCAUUGAGUUGAAUAAUAUUCCUAAUUUUUAUAAUUUUAUUUUAUUCUGUUCCUUAGAGGAUAGAGAAGUAUUUGAAUAGUCUAUACCAUAUACAGCACCAUUGGUUGUGUUUCCAUUGUCAAGGUGUCCACCGACUCUCUAGCCAGAUAUGCCAUUGAUUUAGGGUCCAUUAUUAAUGGCAAAUAGGGCACCCUUAUGGUGGAAGACUAGUAAUAUAAAAAAAUUGAUGUAAAGAGGUCCCAUAAAUCAAUGCUCUUCCUCAAUAAGUGGCUAUAGAAAUGCUAGUAAAUUGGGUGAAGCAUAUCGGCAGUAGCAUUAAAUUGGAGCUCACCAGUUUGAUAAUGAAGUGCAGAUGAGAGGAAUAUCGGUGUGGUUGGGAGUUGCCUGCAUCCUUCCAUGCUGACUCAACCUCUAUAAUUGAGUUGGGUUUGCAAUAAAAAUAAUGUUUUAUGAAAAAUAAAAAUAAAUCUAUACUUUUUCAAAAUACCCACCAAAUUAGUACUCCCUUAUAUCCUUUUUUUUUUUUUUUGUCAAAACCAUAAUUUGGAUUUGGGAUUUAAAGUUAAGACAACAAUGGGUGAUUGUAGUUUCAAUAUUAUGAUAAAAACAUGACUCUUGAUUAUGGUUUUAACUUUAUGUUAAAAUUAUAAGUGAUGGUUGCGGUUUUAACAUAAAUAAUAAUAAUAAUAAUAAUAAUAAUACAUGCAUACACACAUGGAUGUUAAUAUGGUAGAGAACCAUUAGUUAUUAAUGAUAAUUUUUUUGAAAAGGGAUGUAAAUUUAGAAUUUUCUUUUCAAGGAACAUUACUUUUGUGACAAACUUUUCCUAUUCUUCAAAAACAAUCUAUGCUCUUUCAAUUCAUUUUUGUGUUGUUACUUUAUGUUAUGGUCUUUGUAAAUAUUCAAAUCAUUUUAUUGGAUCUCAAGACUCGAUGCAAUUUUUAGGAUAGACAAAUUUUGAUACAAUUCAUUGACAUAAUUGUUUCUUUUUUCUUUUUCUUGUUUUGGUCAAAACCAUAAUUUUGAUUUUAGAUUUAAAGUUAAAACAAUAAUUAGUGAUUAUAGUUCCAAUAUUAUUAUGAUUAAAUUAUGACUCAUGACUAUAGCUUUAACUUUAUGCUAAAAACUAUAAUUGAUGAUUGUGGUUUUAAUAUAACAAAAAAAACAAGCACACAAGUGGAUGUUGAUGUGAUGGAGAACCAUUAGUUACUAAUGAUGAAUAUUUUGAAAAGGGAUCUAAAUUUAGAUUUUUUUUUCAAGAAAAAUUACUUUUUGUGACAAACUAUCCUUAUUCUUCAAAACAUCUUAUGUUUUUUUGGUUCAUUUUUAUGUUAUUACUUCAUGUUAUGGCCUUUGUAAAUAUUCAAAUCAUUUUAUUGGAUCUCAAGCCUUGAUAUAAUUUUUAGAAUGGACAACAUUUGAUAUGAUUCAUUUUCAUGAGUUUAAAUUAAAUAUAAACAUAUUUGGAUCAAAUUCUAUGUCGAUUUAUAUAAAUCAUUUAAUAAAUAUGUAAUUUUUGGAUUAAUCAACAUAGUUCGAAUUUAAUAUGACUCUGACUUAUUUAAUAAUGAUAUAAGCCAAUCUAAUUAUAAACAUAACUUAUUUAACAUAUUUUAUAGGUCAAUUGAAUAAUAAGUAUGUCAAAUUAAAAGAUUAAUAGUAUUGAUUCAAAUAAAAUCUAAUUCAACCUAAUUAUUAAAUAACAUAAUUCCUAUUCUUAUUAUUCGAUGUAUAUCAAUUGUUUGAGUUUAACACUGUAGGAAACACCAACAUGAAUUCUGAACAGUACCUAUUUCGUAUGCAAGGAUUGCAGAUGGGAGUCGGUCUUAUUUGAAUGAAAAGAAGGAAGAAAGGAAGAAAAUUUUUUAUAGGAAGGGACAUCACCAUGCUACAUGGUGAAGGCUAAUUAUGAGAAUGGUGGUGAGACAUAUUAUUGAAGUCUCAUAAUGACAAUUCCAUUGCAUCCCAGUGGCACAAAUUCCAACUUGUAUGUAUAAGAAUCAAGCUUCCACCAACCUGAAAUUUUCUUGAGAAUCUCGAAGCCAAGCAGAUCCCUUGAAUCAAUCAAUCUUAUUUGUUCCUUCCACCAUGCUUCCAACACAAGGGUAUUCAUUUGAGGCCAUUAAUCUAAACAGGCUGUGAGAGUGGCCCUUUCUGGGCCCUUUGUGUCCGCUUAAAAGGGACACCCACCCACUGCUCACCAGCCUGGGCCCUCUGUUCAAGAUACCCAUCCUACUCGACAAUGCCCACUCAGAUUUACAGGUGAGAUGGGUGCAUUGCAUGGUGCCUGAUUUUGAGGCUUCCAGUUCCACGCUCGCCAUCACUCAGAAAACUCUGCAACAAAACCCCAUAUCCACGUAUGGCACACAUAUAUAAUUUUCAGCCUUUCAGAGCCACUGCUGUUUGCACACCCCACCAAGUUGAAAGAGGAUUAAUCAAUGCAUAGCAUGGUGGAUGACUGUGAAUAUGUAACAAAAUAUUUGGAUUCUGUUUACAUUUCCAUGGCCAGUUUUUUUCCUUUUUUCUUUUUUUCAUGAUGAUGGUGGCUUGUAUUGCACCUAUUAGAUCUACCCUAAUUCUCCCAACAUGGUGAGUUAGACCAAUCAAAUCUCCAAUUCUCUCAUGGCAGUUGCCUUUGGUGGCAGUCAUAGUCAAGGACUAGUUCACAAGUCAAUUUCUUUGGGCACCCCAUUUGUUAUCUUUUGCUUGUUUUGCAUUGCAAUUCUGUGUGGAUGUUGCCAAUAUAUCACAACUGACGUACUAACAUAACAUCGUGAUGAGAUCUCUAUAAACGAAUACACCAUGCAAGCUUAUCUUUUAAGGUUCUAGGGAAUUUCAUUUUCAGAUUUGAAGAGAUGGAGAACGUUUACCGAUAGUGAAGACUCGCUUCAAACCUCCCUAUAAAAAGAAAAAAGUUGUGCCCAGCAGCCACAAGGUCUCUGAUACUUAAGUGGGAGGGGGAGCAACACUGAGAAAGAGGAGUUUUGUGUGUCCUACCACUUUGUGAUAUCGGGGAUUCCUUUUGUAGAUGUGGCCUCUAGAGAUCAGUUGGGGCUGUCCAUGAGCAUGGGGGCAUUAAACACUAGUCAUUCCAAAUUUUGUUGAUAAAUUAGGUCUGGGAGAUUAACAAUGCCUUUCAUAAUAUUUCAAUGCCUAUUGCUUUUAAUGAAAUUGUUUUCUAUGAAAGUAUCUUAUGGAGAAUUGGUAUUAUUGGGAGAAUUGUUUGUUAACUACUUUUUUAAGAAGAAUUAUAAGUGAUUUUUUUUUUUAAUUUCUUAAAAUUAUUUUAAAAUUUUACUUAAACAUAUUUUUUUCUUUAAAAAAACUUUUUAUGCUAGAAACAACUUUUUAAAAAAAAAAACAUAUUUUUAAAAUAAAAAUGUUUUUUAAAAAUAUUAUCAAAUGGACUCUAAUUAGCUUGCUCGUUGGAUUCAUGUGACAUCCCAGGCGACAAGUCCCCACAUAUUCCCCUCUUUCUUUAGUGCCUAAGGCUUCCAUGGGGUGGGAAAACUAUCUCAUUCUUUCAUGUGGAGCCACCUAGGUAAAUUGAUUUUGAACUUGCAUGAGGAGCUACCUACGAGGAUUGCUUUUGAAUUUGAAAGGGCUCCCCCCCACCCCCCAAAAAUAUAUUAUGUUGUACAAACAAAAUAAUUAUUUUUAUUAUAUUUUGGUAAAGUAGUAGGUAAAUUGAUUUUGAACUUGCAUGAGGAGCUACCUACGGGGAUUGCUUUUGAAUUUGAAAGGGCUUCCCCCCCACCCCAAAAUAUAUUAUGUUGCACAAACAAAAUAAUUUUUAUUAUAUUUUGGUAAAGUAGACACGAUUUUAAUGUAUUUUGUUGAAGUCAUAACUUGAAGACAUGAUUUUAAUGUACUUAGUUAAAGUUGUGGCUUGAAGACAUAAUUUUAGCAUAUUUUAUUAAAAUCAUGUCUUUAAAAUAUGAUUCCAAUAUUGAAGACUUUAUUAAAAUACAUAAUAAUAAUAGUAAUAUAUAAUUUCAAUAAAAAAUAGAAAAAACAAUAAUAAUAAAUUAAUUUAAAUAAAUAUAUAUAUAUAUUAGAUAAAAGAAAAAAAUGAACUAAAGUUUGUCUUGAAUCCACAAUUCCAUGAUAAUACAUUGAAAUCGUGUCUUCAAAAUAAUAUAAUCAUGUUUUCUUGAAGAUUUCAAAAGAAUAUAGUAAAUGGUGUUUUUGAAGACACAAAUUCACGGUAAUGCAAGAUAUGAUGUCUCACAUUGAAUAUUGAUAGGGAAGAAAGUUAUUGAUACUAUAUAAAUAUAGACUCCUCUUAAUAAUACAUACAUGUUUUUAAGUCGUGAAGAUCCUUUUAGGCCUAUAGCAAACAAUAUUUACAUAGUUAGGUACGAGUUGUUACAAAUAACAUCAGACCUUAUUCUCAACUCUGAUACGAGAGUUUAUUUAGUCUAUUAUGCUUGCAUGAGGGGUGUUUAUGAUGUUUCAUAUCAGAUAGGGAAGACAAUUUUUGACUCUAUAUAAGUAUUAACUUCUUUUAAUCAUGUAGACAUAUUCUUAAAUUGUAUUAUAAAUAAAUAUCAACACAACUUAGUUGGGCAAAGUGGAAAAUUUUUAAUAGAUAUGGGCAAAUUUCCAAAUAAUUGUGGCAAAACUUGAAAUUGAGAAAACAAAAUGACGAUCAAUGAAGAUUUCUUUGAUUUUUUAGAAGUGGCACAAAAUAGUGAUAAGAAAGAGAAGGGCAAUGAUAACGAUGGAUUGAGUCUUUUUUGUAGUGGUCAUUGUAGAGGUCACCAAGCCAAGAGGUGGUCCGACUUCAAGUUUCUGGGCCUUGAAGCGAUGGUCCACUAGGAUGAGUAAAAGGAAGGAAGACAAAGAUGGAUGGUUAGAUUUUUUUUAUUUUUUUAUUUUUCUUUUUCUUUUUUUCUUUUUAAUUUGAAAAGAAAUUUGAGAUAGUAUAUUGUGGGGUAUUUGGGGUUGAAAACGGAUUUUUGUCCAUAUAGAAGUCCAACAUGGAUGAAACUUCCAUAGAUCUAAAAUUAUUUUUUGAAAAAUUGUACUUUAGAAAAAAAAUUUCAAAAUAUCCAUACUUUUACUGAAAAACUGAAUUUGAAAAUAAGAUAAUUUGCACAAUUAAGGUGGGCACGCCCAUCUUCUUCUCAUGCCUCAUUCAAUUGAAGGGCCAAGAUACCAUAUUUGGGAUGCUACUAGCUAUCAUUCGCAGUAUGGAUGCAUUAGUCCAUGAAAUUUGUGGAUAACUUCGGAUUCAUUGGCUAAUGAUGGUUGGAGUGGCCAGGGGUUGCUUCUCUAGAUCCACGUGUCAUUGGUGGGGGUGGGCGCGAUGAGUGCUCAACACUCGACCAUCUUUGUGCGAGGAGGAAUGUGUCCAAUAUCAACCACAUUGUGCAAACAAGUUUCAUUGGAAGGGUUUAAGAGAAGUGAGAAUGAAUAUUCUAGAAGGUUUAUAUCACUAAGUACGACUCAUGAUUUAGACAAACAUCCCAUAUACUUGGACCUUAACAAACACCCAUAAUUAAUUCUUUUCCUCCGCCAAAAGCUUUUCACCUUUGGUGGGAUAGUGGGGAAAUACAAGCACACCAGAAGCUCAACACAAAGCCCACACUAGCUGAGCCAGCCCAGUAGGUGGUUCUUCAGAAAAUGACUGGUUGGACAGAGGCCCAAAGUGAGAGAGGGGCCUUAAAAGAGUGGAGAGCUGGUCAUCUGGACCAUGAGACUUGUACGGAAUCGUUCCCAAAUAUGCUAUUUUGCUGGGAUGUUCUUAUAUCAUCAUUUAUAUUUUUAAUGUUUUGUAUUCACAAUCUCCUCCUUUCCGGUUCACAUUGAGGGAUGUUUUUUUAAAAAAUUAUUAUUUUAAAAAAUAUUAUUAGAAAAAAAAAAAUGAAAGAAGAAAAAGAUCAUAUUAUAUUUUAUUAAUUUAUAUAUUUUUUAAAUUUUUAUAUUUUCUAACUUUUUAUAUUUUCCUUUUAUUCUAAAAAUAACAAGAAACUUCUAUUUAGAAGUUAUUUUUCAAUUUUCACUUUAAUUUUUAUGUCCAUAAUGUUUUCAAAAAUUAUUUUUAAUUAUUUUAAAUAAAAAUUUUAUUCACAAACUUAAUAAAAUAUCAUUUUUAAUUAUUUAUAUGUAUAAAAAGUAUUAUUUAUAUUUUUAAUUAUUUUUUAUAAUAUUUUAAUAAAAAAAUACUUGAAAAUAGUUCAAAUUUGUUUUAAAAAUAUAAUAUUUUUAAAAUAAAUUAUUUCUAAUUAAAACUUUGUGAAAGUGAUUAGUAUGCUAUUAAAUUAAAAUUUAUUUCCUAUUUUUAAAAUAAAACAUUAUCUUUAAUAACAAUUUCCAAAUAACCCAUAAAUAUUGCAUUUGACAAUCUCAUCUUACUUAGUCCAAUCCGUAGCCUAACAAUCUCAUUUUUUUUUGCUUACUUUUGAGAAGUCUCAAUUUGACUAAGUAAACAACCUCCGGCUAUUGUAUUCAAGCAUAUAGAAAACUCCACUUUAUUUUUUAGGAGUUUCCGUUGGAAGAUGUGUAGGUACUUUGAAUGGGUGAAUGAAUUUAACCCAUUAUUGAAACCUAAAAGUCUCAAGAAGCCAAAAUGUUUUGGCUUAUUGAAGGUGAACAUUCUUUUUCUCCCUUUUAGAGUUUAUAUAAAGAAAGACUUAGACUCUCUUUAGAGGUUAAGUUUUUUAAUUUUGUUGUCAAAAUCAUCAAACAUUUCUUUCCUUCUUUCGUUGUAAUAGAAUCAAACAAAAUUUAGUUCGUUAGAAGUGGUUACAAGGUGUUGUUAUUGCCAUUUGAAAACCAUUUUAUCUUGGGAGAUAGAUGUUUUGUAAUUCUCAAAGUACCAACGGAGAAGAUAAAUUUGUUUUAAGGAUAUUAUAGCUUCGCGAGACUUUAUUUAAAACUUAGAAGGAGAAUGAAAGAAUUAAGAUUAGACUUUAUUUAAGAAAAAAAAAUGUUGUAUCCAUGAAGCUUUCAUACAAAUAUUGCUAAUUGAAGAACUAAAGAUAAAACAAUCACACACACGAUACACAAGAUUUUAAUGUGAUUUGACCAAUUAUGUCUACAUCUAAGGAUGGGAGAAAAUUUGACCAAUCAUAACUAUUAAGUUCCAAAACAUUUCAUGUUUUCUUACUUCUUAUAUUCACACAUUGAACCACAAGUCUUCUCGUUUUAUCGAGUAUCUUAUGUUUUUUCUCACAUCCCUAUUUACCUUGUAUAAUCUCUACAUCCUCAUCUUCAUCUCAUAACUUUUUCCCUUCACAAUGUAGAAUAGUUAUUAAAAAAUUAGAUACGUUUGUGACAAAAUACCAUAAGACUACCUAAACAAAUAAGCAACAAAUGAAGGAUGAUGAAUGAAAGGGAUGGUCAUGGAGGGACCAUUCAAAAAAAGGGUGAUGGAGAAGGAUCAUAAAUAUGAAUAUUUCCUAAAGGUUUGUGUCACAUUCACUUGGGCUUACAAUAUACUAAACAAUGGCCAUGCAUACUAAAAAAUACAUGCAGCUUCUGGCACAUUAAUUAAAUGUGCUUGGUGAUAAUCAUUGGAUAGAAAGUCGCAUAAGAAGUUAACCUUCCUAUAUAUAGAAGUUAAAUAACCAAUCUUUUAUUACAAUGCCCAUAACCCUUCCGUCACUUUAUUGCCUUAAACAACAAAAGUGUCUUCUAUAGUGAUUGUUCAUUUGUGGGCUCCUACAAAAUGUGCAUAUUAAUUCAUCAAUCUACACUACCAGAAAUAUUUUUUAUAUAUUUUUGUUGUUUAUAAAAGAAAAUUUCUAUGUCAUUUCCUUUUCUUUUCAUGAUGUUUGUAAAGAUUCAAAGUAAAUGGUCCAAUUGGUUUCAUAAAGGAUGAGACCAUGGGAGGACUUUGAAAAGGUAAAGAAGGAAUCCGUCUAUCCCGUCAUGGGUCAAUUCUACAUUAUUUCCUGACCUCCCUCGAGUGGUUUCAUCCAUGGACCAUUUUUGAAUUUUCUUCGUUUCAUCAAAAUUGGGGAAUAAUUUCUAUUUAAAUAAUCAUUCUUUUUUGAAAAUCAAUAUAUACACAUUUCAUAUUUAAAUUGUUGAAAUAAAAAAAAUAAGAAAUCAAUUUCAUUCUUGGAUUAUUUUUCGGGAUAAGAGUAAAAAUUAAAAAAUCUAUUUGAAAUCUGAAAUAUUAUUAAUAAUUUUUUAAUAUUUUUAAAUUAAUUUUUAUAUCUAAAAUUUUAUUUUUAACCAAAAGGCAAUUAAUUAAAUAUUAUUUUAAAUUUGUAAUUAAUUAAUAAUAUUUGGUGAUAAUCGAAACUUAAAAAGUUAAAAGCGAAUUUUACAUAAAGCAUCGGAAAGAGGGAAGGAAAAUUCCGAUAUUGAGAUCGGAAGAGCACAAGUGUGGAAGAGAAUGAUGGUCUCCAUACCAUAUUUGAGCGUUCAAGCAGAGCGUCCAACACGUUCCAGGACUCGACGAUUCCACCUUCAAAUGUAAGGGCUUAUAAAUCUGCCAUGCGAAAACCUGCUGCUUCUUCACCAAUUUCCCAAACCCAAUACGCCAAGAUCUCGAUUCUUGUUGGAGAUCCCAAUUGCACCACCUCUAGAGUUUCGAUAUGACCGGACCCCAUCAAUCUUCUGGCGCUCACAGCAUCAGGGAUACCAUCUGUUACGCCGCUUCGGGUGCUGCUGCAGGUGCGUUCACUUUUAGUUGUGUGUGUUCUUUUUUUUUUGGUUUCAAUUUCGAGCUAUUUUGUGAUAUGUUUUGUGGGUUCAGCUGGGGGUUGAUUAAAUUUAUGCGAGAAUGUGAAAUUUACCCUCCUUUUGGUUCCUCAGAAAGUAUUUUCCAUUCUUUUUCCUUGCUUGGGUACAUUGUAUCAUCGAUUUCAUUCCGUGAAUUGUGAAAAAUUGGGGUGAUUUUAAUUCAUUUGAUGAACUGAGUGAAAAUUUUUCUUGUUUAGCAUGUGAAAUUGAAGCCUUAACGGGAACGCAGUUGAUGAUCUAACUUCACAAGUGUGAUUUGUUUGCCUUGUAGGUGCAAUUGCUGCCACUUUUGUCUGCCCAUUGGAUGUGAUCAAAACAAGAUUACAGGUCCAUGGCCUACCUGAAGUUCGGCAUUCUGGCGUCCGAGGCAAGCUGUAAUUUGUAUUUUGCCUGGAUUUUGUUAUUGAGUGGUAAUAGGAUGUUCUAUUUAGCUUUGGAUAUUAAGAAGCCUUUCAUGAAUUCAUUUUUCUGAAAGGCUUUUGGUUGAAGUUACUUGUACAAGUUUGGAAUUGGACUCUUGACCAAGUAUAUGAAUUUUAUGCCAAUGAACGUGGAAGAAUUGGGUAUGGGAGCUUGGUUUCCAAUAAUCAGCAGUGUUCUGCUUAUUCAGAGAUGCAUUUUUGUGAUUUUGAAUGGAUUCAGUUCUUGAAAAAGGGGGGAAAACAUUAACAAAUAUGAAAGACACAUUGACAAUUGUGGUUAUAUCACGACAUACCCAUACCAAAUUACUUCGUCAAGACCCAACACUAGCUAUGCAAUUCUUAGCCUAGAGGCUGGCGAAGCUAAUGUAACAACAUAUUGCAGUACAGUCAUGUGUACAAUGACUUUUUUUAGUAGAUUAGGCUUUAUUUAUUCAUUGAGUUAUUUUAUCUCUGAUCUCAUUAACCGUUGCCUCUCUCUCCCCUGCUCCCCCUGUUUUUUUCUAGUAAAUCAUAAGGUAGACAAAUCUUAUAGGAAUUAUAAUUUGUAAAACAUCUCCUUACUGCCCUAGCUUGGUGCUUAUUCAUCUUCUAGAUACUGCUGCUUUCCACAUGCCUACUCUGAAGGAUUAUGUGAUAGGACUGGUGGAUUUUGUUACUCUCCUCUUCUCGAUGCAUGCAUUUUCUAACUGUUCUCUGCUUUUGUUUAUCUUUCACAUGCAUUGCUUGAUGACUGUAGGUUGCUUUGCUGACCCUAUUACAGUAGUUCCAAAUUAGGAAUUUAAUGAAAAUAGUUUAGACACUUUCCUUUUCACUAUUUUCAUUUGAUUUUUAGUUCAAAAAGUGAAACGUGGAUUGAACUUUUUCUUUUGUUCUUCUUCGUUUCUGUAUGGGUCAAAAUGCCACAUUUUUUUAAUGCUCUUAUUUUUUGGCAAAAAGCAGGUAGCGUCAUUAUUACAAGCCUAGAAAACAUAAUAAGGACAGAGGGUUUGAAGGGAAUGUAUCGUGGCCUUUCGCCAACAAUAUUGGCACUACUUCCUAAUUGGGCCGUGAGUAUUACUUUUCUUGAGUUCCUUCCAAAAAAGAAUCAGUAACUGGGACCUCUUCUGUCAUUGAAGGAGGCAUUUCAUCUUUGAAUUCUUUCUUGAUUUGUUAUAAACAUGUGGUUGCUAGUUUUCCCUUAAGAAUAAUUUUGGCAUUCUUAAGAGGAAUUUUGUGAACUAAAAUGAAUUCUAGAUUUUGCUUCACAAAGCUAUAUUGUCCCUUCUCCAUCAUUUGUUUCUUAUUAUAUAUUUCUCUUUUAAAGAGAAUUCUUGUGUCGAGGAAUGAUUUGCUUUCCCUAUUAAUUUGGUUAGACAGGAGUAACAAGUUUAAAUAUACUUAGCGAAAUUGAAAAGAUGCUUUAUUUAAUAAGUAAGAAGGAAUUUAUUAGUAAAGGCGCCUAAGAAAAGGGGGCAAAACCCACAGGCACUGGAGGUAUACAUUGAGUGCCCAAUGGGGCUGAAACGCAACACCUUGAAAAAUUUAGCGAGGAUUCAGAUUAUCUAUGAAACCCAACAGAGACACAAAGCCUACAUCCAAAGACUUCUUAGUUCAUAAGAAUGGAGAACGAAUAAAAGACUCCUUUCAAGCUUGAACCAACUGUUCCAAAUUCUCAAAAGUCCUCCAAUUCUGCUUCCUCCAUAAUGUCUAAAACAAGAAAAGGAGAGCUGCUAACCAACUUUUCUAUGAUCUUUCCCAACCAAGCUCCCAUGACACCCUAAUAAGACCUCUUUGACUGACCCAGGAAGAACCCAAGAAAGACCAAACAAAGAGAGCAGAAAACCCCAAAGAGUGCCAAUAUGCUAGUGGAUCAGAACAUCGUUGGCUAACUCUUCCUCAUUCUUACACAAGCAACACCAGUUUGGGAAAGGCCACCCCCUCUUUUCUUCAAUUGAUCUCCCCACUUUUAAGAUUUUUCCAAGUGUACACCGGUGUGUUUUUUUUCUAUUCUUUUCUUUUUUUGCUGGGACACAACUUGAAUUAAAUUAGGGGUAUGCGCUCAGUAUUGGAACUCACACUACGGGCACUUUUUUUCUAAUCUGUUGCUGGGAAUCUGUCAGAUUGGAAUGAGAAUAGCCUAGUUGGAAUCCAUGUUUUAUUGAACAUUUGAAGGAUUGAAAGAUGGAGUAGGUGAAUGUUUGCUUUGUGAUUCUCUAUGAGUGAGAGGAAAUAGUCAUUCUAUGUUGCUUUGGAAGGGAUUGGGGUGGUGGGGUUUAGUGGGGGUGUGUGUGUGUUUUUACCCCUUUGAUCUCCAGUGUGGUCUGAAAUAGCUGGAUACCUGCUAAGGUUCAUUUAGUUGUUUGGAUGGCAUCUUCAAACAAGAUUUUAACCAUUGAUAAUCUGGUGCAUUGGGAUCUGGUGCUUCCUUAUGGGUGUUGCAUACAAUGUUGUCAAAUACAUUUUCAUGGGUGCUCAAUGACCACUAUGAAGCUAACCUCUUUGUCUAUCACUUGUUCUCAUGGAUGUACUGCAACUGAUUCAAGAUUACUUUUAUGAUGCUUUUUGUGGGUUACAGUUUUUUUUCCUUGUUUUGCUCCUUUUUCCCCUUUAGAGCAUACUGUUAUCUGUUUUUUUCCUACAAAUUUGUGAGCCUAAUCUGCCACUUGAACAUAUUUAUUCUAUUUGUUUCCUCAAAAUCAACGUUGAUAUUCAGGCUAUAGAUUUGACUCAUUUAUACACAACUUUUCUUCUUUCAUCUGCCUUCAACAAAGAUAUGCAGAAUAUCAUCCUAUUUUCUUUAUAUUCUCCAAGUGACAGAAGUGCUCAUUUCUCAUGUAGGUGUACUUCACAGUGUAUCAGAAAUUAAAAGACGUACUGCAUUCCCAUGGUUUGUUUCUUAAGAUGUUCCUACCUUGAAAAAUGCGGUUUUGUUUUUCUUGGGCUUAUGUCAGACACAUUACUUCAUUUUCUAAGCUUUGAUAUCCUACAACCUAUUGAGAUUGGUGAAGUUUGUUGUGUUGGUUGGUUGGUUUGAUUGCUUCAAACAUUUCUAUUGCAAUGCUGCAGUGGAUAGCAGCAGUCAACUUACAAUUGGUGCAAAUGUGAUAGCUGCUUCAGGAGCUGGGGCUGCCACAGCAAUUACAACGAAUCCAUUGUGGGUUGUUAAGACCAGACUCCAAGUAAGUUAUGCAUCACUGUGUUCUGAUUCCUUCUGAUACCUAUAGAAGAACAUCGUAAGAUGUUUCUCAUAUUUUGCUCAUCUCUGUGGUCCCUUCCAUUGGUAUGCACAUAAUAUAACUUAGAAGUUAGACCACAUAUUACUAAACUUCCAGCAUUUUAAUAUUGAAGAGAACAAAUGUUUUGUGAGAUAAGCGGGAAUGAAGGAUAUACACACUCAGGAGAUCCUAUAAAUAUGAUGCUUGCUACUCUUUGAACAGGAUAAGAUUAAUUUUGUUAAUCUUUGUAUUUUGUUGCCUUAAUUGCUUAAUAGUAAUAUGCUCCUGAGCUUAGUAUUGUAUUAGAAUAUUGAAAUAUUAAACAAAAUGGAAUACUAUAACCUAUCAACAUAAGAUUAUGCUUGCUGUUACAUUAGUUUCAGACACAUGCAACAGGUCUAAAAUGUUGUUUUGAGGCAUCUCUUGGAAGAUGUAAGUAAGUUGUGUUUGGAUCAUGGGAAGUUUGAGCUAAUUAUGAGUAAAAAAAACGAUAAGGAGGGAAAAGGUAAGGGAAAAAAAGUCCAAGCUAAUGAAUAAUUAUAAAAUAUUUUAUGGAGAAUGAAUAAUUUGAAAAUAUUUUAAUUAUAAAAUAAUUUUCAUUAUAUUUUAUUGUCUUUUGCAUUUUCCUUGUUAAACCCAAUCAGAGAGUUAGAGGUUCCUUUCAACGGAAUUAUGCUGGAACGCCAAUUUGUUGUAAAUAAUUCUCUAUAAUAGGAUAUUCAUAUUGGGGUGCAUGUUGUGUUAUUUCUUGUAUUUUUGGGACACCUUACUUAAAAAUACACCUUCCUACUUUCUAUCCUUUGGCCUUUGGUUUAUCCUCCAUCCGCCUAAUCAUUUUGUAAAUUUAGUCUGUAUCAUCUGAGUCAUAAAACUAUCUUAUCUAUUGGCUUGAAAUGCAUUUCCUAUUAACUAAUGUACAACUGCUUGUUAGAUGGAAUCUCUUCCACAGAACAAUGCCUGAACAAGCUACUAGAAAAUGGAAUCCCCAGAAAAAGUGCACAAAUUAAAUCUCUCUAGAUAGGCAGUAAUCUGAUAGUUACACUAAAAAUCUCUAAGGUUCAUCUUUCUUAUCUAGUUAUCAGAAUUGACUAAUUUGGGCAAUACAUGAACUAUGGUUGAUGCUUAAUCAAUCAAAUUAAAUAGGAGGUAUAUCUCUCCAGGCCACUUUCAUGUGAUCCUUAAGAAGAUCUAGUAUUUUUACCAAACAAGAAUUCUUGUGUUGGAAGGCUAGGGGUAAAAAGAGGUUAAACUUCCAUCAUUUAAUGUGGGGUGCGAAUGUUAACCAUCAGAGUGAUAAGACCUAAGCAUUUGUUAACUAUGUAACAAUCAACCAUUCCCUCAUUAAAAUCCCUCUCUGAUAUUUGCUUCUCUAAUUCCUCAUCCUUACUUUUCCAUUUUUUGUGGGCACUAGGAAUGGAGGCAACAAGAUUUUGAAGUUUGAUGCCCUAUUGUUUUGCUGAUAAAUUCAUGCCCUUCAGUCUUUGAACCCAAAACCCUAGUAAGAAAGAGUGCUACCUAAGCAGAAAGGGUAGGGUGGGAAAACUGGGUUGAAACAGUAGAAUAGUUGAUAUUAUUCAUUUAUUGCACCUUUACCUCAAUUCUGAACCUGUUGUACUAUUGCUUUCAUAACAUUUUUGGUUAUUUAUCCCCUUUUGUUCCCAAAACCAUUGCUAAACAUUUUUUUUUUCUGUUUGGAUGUUUGAAGCUUUGCUGCUGCAUGAUGGUAUAAGAGUAAACUGUCCUAGAUAUUCUCUGAAAAGCUUGGACAUGGUUUAUAAAAAGGAUGUCUCAAAAGAACUUUUUUUAUGCGAUACUUUGAUAAAGAUUGUGAAUCAGUGACAAUAACCCUACCAAACCAACAUAUCUUAAUGCUUUAUCAUAUCAUUUUGAUUUUGUUUUGGAUAUUCAUUUGUUUUAUCCUUGUUUAGACACAGACAAUGAGGCCAAAUGUGGUUCCUUACAAAGGCAUAUUUUCUGCUUUGAAAAGGAUUGCACAAGAGGAAGGCAUUCGAGGAUUGUAUAGGUCAGUGUCUCUUUGUUUAAUGUUCAAAAUGUAAUUGUGGAGAUUAAUUGAGCCUUUGGUAUCCAUAAUCUGAAACCCUAAAAAAUGAAACUGCAAAUUGAUGCAACUUGUCAUUCUCUUUUCUUUCUUUAUUAUUUUUUUCUUCCUCUGCCUUUUUAGACUUAACCUGAAUAUAAAUUUACAAAUACCAAGAAUAGCCCAUUCUUGUUGGAAAUGUUGGCGUGCAAAAGGUCCAUACUUUUUAUUUUUUUUGAAUUUUGGUAGAAAUAUUUUGUUUAGUAGUUUUGGUGUCAUAAUGCCAUUGUGAUGCUUUCAACAGUGGCCUUUUGCCUUCAUUGGCUGGAAUAACUCAUGUUGCCAUCCAAUUUCCAGCAUACGAGCAGAUGAAGUCCUAUUUAGCUAAAAUGGGUAAUAUGUUUGAUUUUUUCUUACUUCUUAAUCACGGGUAGAAGAAUCUUGUGUAAUUUUUUGUUUUGCUGAAGUUCAGGUGAUACCACAGUUGAUGAACUAGGUCCUGGGAAUUUUGCAAUUGCCUCAUCCUUCUCUAAAGUACUUGCCUCCGUGAUGACUUAUCCCCAUGAGGUUCGUUUGUGCUGGAAUACCAUAAUAAACUGAUGAAGGAGAAGGUCUAAUCACCCAAAAGAUUGGAUCUUUUAUACUGUUGUUUCUACCAUAAUGUUUGACUUUCACAUCACCAGGUUAUUCGUUCAAGGCUGCAAGAGCAAGGGCAGGUCCGGAAUUCAGAGAAGCACUAUUCAGGUGUUAUUGAUUGCAUUGAGAAAGUGUACAGAAAGGAAGGUCUUCCUGGUUUCUAUCGUGGCUGUGCAACUAAUCUAUUGCGGACAACUCCAUCUGCUGUUAUAACUUUCACCAGUUUUGAGAUGAUUCAUAGGUUUUUACAGCGACUUCUACAUCCGGAUGCAAAGCAUUCAUCAGCCAACCCUAAUUCUGAUGGCCAUAUUAAACCUCAGCGUGAAAAUGGGAGAACCGUAGUAGAACAAAAUGACUCCAGUGUAAGGCAGUCACAAGCUCAAUCUACUAGUAACAGAACUCCAAUUCCUAUUGGAAACAAGGAGCAGCUACCUGCAAGCCACUGAUUGAUUAGUGUUUCUUGUCAACCUUAUUUACCCCAUUACAGAAAUUUUCUGCAAAACUGAUUAGGUUAAGCCACUCCAGUGUGAAGCUGAAUAAAAUGAGAUCAAUUUUUUUAUUUGGCGUGAGAAUUGUAUAUUUAUGUAGCUUUUUUUUUUUUUUUUUCUUUCCAAUUUAUUUUGUGACAUUCAUCCAUUUUGCUGCAAGUUCUCUGCUUAUUUUCAAUUUUAUUUUGCUUUCUUUUGAGGUCUAGACACUUAGUAUUGUUCAUUUCUUGACGACCAUAAAGAAAACAAUGUUGUUGGAUUAACUAUUAUAAUUUUAUAAAAUAUUAUUAUUUAUUUUUCUAAAAAAAAAAAUACAAUUUAUCGAUUUAUUAAAAUGUUAAUAUGAAUGUUUUAUAAUUUCUAUUAAAAUAUUAGCUUUCUUUUUAAUAUAGAAAACAUAUUUUACAUAUUUAUUUAUUAUUAAUAUUAUUGUUUACAAAAUUUACAUUGUUCAUUUUAGAAAUUAUUAUCUAUUUUUAUUUAUUUUUUAUAAUUUAAUAUUUAUUUUAGAGUAAAUCAAAAUUUCUAUGAAUUUUUUAAACAUUAUAAUUCAAUGUUUAAUUUUUAAAAAUAUCAUUAUUUAUUUCUAUCGAAAACAAAUAUAAUUCUAAUAUUUAGAUAAUGAAUUUACAAAUUUUGAGAAAGUUUGUAUAAAAGGUAAAAUAUUUAUACAUAGAUAGGCUAUUGUUUUAACGGCAUGUAUGAAAAAUAAUUUUAAAUGAAGAAGUUAAUUAUAAUAAUAAAAUUAAUUAUUGUUUUGCAAUUAUUUUAGGUUAAUUAUAAAAUAUGAGUAAAAAGAUUAUAAAUUUUUAAAAAAUAAAAAUUAAAACAAAGGUUUGAAUAUACUCUGACCUUCACUUUUAUGGGAUUGGGCAUAAGGGGAGAGGGGUUUUAGAAUUUAAAAUUUAGAUCAUAUCUUAAAGAUUAUCAUUUAUGGGGGGAAUCACUUACCCAAAAAGCCAUCAACAAAAUUCAUUCUUUUGAGGGCGUGAAGGAAGAGGAAACCCAUGUAAAUUCUUGAUGCUAUUCAAUCAGAGAAGAUACCACACCUUUAAGCCCAAUGGGGUGCAAUCAUUAUUAUCUUAUUUUGAUUUCUGGGGUGGCUUUCUUUCUUUCUUUCUUCCACUUUCAAUGGAAAUAUCUGGGAAAAUCAGCCCUAAAUCACUUUUCCCAGAAACCAAAAGAAAAGAAGUAGCUUAUGUCUUCCUCCUCUGGUCCCUGGAGAAAAGUGGGGUCAUGGUCUAAUGGUGUGUUGAAUCAUCCAGAACCAUUGAAUGGUCGCAUCAACUCCCUCACCACUUUACCACUUUUCCCACUAAGUUGCGCCGGUGAAUUGCAGCCAUCCCAACAAAAUACCCACCCAAAGCAUCAUCCUCCCGCGAUUUCUGAUUAAAGUUCACGCCCAUCCACGUGCUAUUCUUUACCCAUCACCCCCAUUCUUUCCCAACUUCAAUUUCAAACAUUAAAAAUAAACAAUUAAAUAAACAAACACUCCAAUCUACAACAAUUUCAGAGCCGUACUGGAUUGCCGGAGACUUUCUUUUCCGGCGACUCGAGUUAACCACCAUCAUUAUAUUACAUUUGAAAGCACAUCAUUCACAAUUUUUCUUUCAAAGGAAGACAUUAACGAGUAUUGACAAAAAGUUUAUUUAUUUAUUUUUUUUUUAUUUUCUGUGUUUUCGAUAAUUUACUCUGGAAUAGUGACGAGAACAGGACGCCACGCCCUCUUGAUGAAUCGAUGCCGAAACCCCAACCAGACCGGCCUCGGAGAAAGCGGAGCAGCUCCUAAACCGUCGCCGCUGAUAUCUUCUCCAUUCAUUGCUGACGGAAACGCUUCGCUUUUGUUCUUCAUCUUCUCCGCUACCUUCUUGGUAUCUUCGUCCAGCGGCGGCGAAGACACAAACAGGUCCUUCAGAGUGCGGCUGCUCGAGUCCUUGCUCUUCUUGUUCUUUUUCUUUUCAGCAAUUUGUCGAUCGGAGAAGUCCCGCCGCCGUGGCGUGCGGCCGAGCAGCGUGCGGAGUGUUUUGCGGCGGCGGAGUUGGAUGAGAGGACUGGAGGUGGGGCUUGGGGCAGGAGCGCCACACUGAGUGGCCAUGAGCUUGAAUUUCUGUAACAUCACCAUUAUUGGAUUCGUUUGUGACUAAGCUCAAGAUCGGAAUUUGAAUAUCAGGGAAUCAUAAACGAGGGCGGCGAUUUUGAUGGAUUGGCUGAGAGGGAAAGGGUUUUCUGGCACUGGGUUGCAUUGUAUUAUCUAUCUACUGUUAAGAGUCUGUCUCGCUGGUUCGAUUUUCUCUCCUUUUUGUAGACUUCGAGGGGUGCUUGAACUUCAAGCUGAACGUGAAUGCCUUUUUUUCAAAGUGAAAAUUAUACAAAUAGGUCUAAUUCUGAAUCCAUUGAAUAUUCCGUGGCCCAAUUUCUACACAAAUCGGAAAGCCCAAUGGCAAAAAUAAUUCGCCCAACAAUAUGAAAAGAGUAACCCCUAAUAGCAUAGUUGAAAACUAUUUUUAUAUAUUAAAAAUUUAUUUUAAAAAUAGAGUUGUGGAUGAAUCUCAACUAUGCAUUAAACCUAAGAAUAAGGUUUUGGAUGAAUCUAAAUUAUAAAUUACACCUAAAAUGGAGAUUUUAAUUAGUAUUUUUAAGGUUCCCUAAGAUUGAUUCAAAGGCAAAAUAUGGCGCAUCAAUACUCUUCCAAUAAGUAAAAUAACACAAUUAACAUGCUAAUGUAAUGAUAUUAUCUUAUUUAGUUUUCGUCGAGUUUCAACUACUCUAAAUACAAAUCUAAAUGUCUUUUACUUUAAAUAAAAACCAACCCAAAAAUCAUUGAAUCAUUUUAAGAUUACACAAUCAAACUUGAGCUCAAAUUCUCUACUAAUAUAUUCUUUAAAAUAAGUUAUUUUUUUUAGCCAAGAUAAACACAAAGAAAAAUAACUAAUGAAGAGAUAGAGAGAAUAAUGCAAUGACAUCGUGAUUUAAUAUGGAAAAUAUUUGAAGAGAUAAAAAACCAUGGGUCCACAAGCAAUCAAAGAUAUUUGCUAUGAAAAACAACAAUUAAGUAAAGGGUUUUCCUUCCCCUUAUUGUCACUCUAUAGAAUCGUACAUGAGAUUUUCACCUCAUACAACUCCUCGUUCAAUUCUUUUGAAGUCAUUGGAUCAUUUUCCUCGUUCGAGAAUCUCUUCCCCUCUUCCACUCCGUCUCGAAGAGUAACUAGGACCAAUUCAGUCACGUUUUCGUGUUCCAAUUGAACACUUUCCAUUUUUUAUUAUUCUCAAAUCAAAGGAGAAGAUUAUUCUUUUUACCAAACAUAUGCAACUCAAGCCUACUAAUUCUUCCUAUACCAUUUGACUAGCACUUUUCAACUUCAACUACCCUUUUUUUGUUAGAGUACACUUGGAAUCCACAUUAAGCUCAAUCUUGAUUUCUUUUAAAUCCACAUAAGAACAAAAUGGAUUUUACCUAAACCCAAUAACCACAAAGAGGAAAUGGAUGGAAGAACCAAAUAAGUUAGUUCAUACUUUAAAACUCACUCAAAAAUUGUUUUGAACUUCAUAAUGGGUUAGAUUUUCUUAGGAAAUAAGUAUACUCACACUUAGAAUGGGAGAUGAGCAUUAUGGAAGUGUGUGAUAGUUGCUAGCAUUCUCCAAUCCUAAAAUAAAAAUUUUGGGUUUAAAUUGGAAGAAAAACCCUUUAUCCAACUUGUUAUGGAUCAACGUUGAAACAAGGCACAAAAAUACUUAUCAAAAAAAAAAAAAAGGCACCCAAGUCUCCUAAACCUUUUUAAAAAGAUUUUCAUUAAUUUGAAAAAGCUAAUUGAUUUGAUUUCAUCCAUCCAGUACUUCAAUUACAUGCCUUCACUUUCAAGCACUUUCAAGCACUUUCAACACCUUGAAGUUCUUCAUUAGGUAAGUAGUUCGAGAGAGGAUUUGGUAGACUGAGUUGGGAGAACACUUUUUUGACCCGAAAUUUCUAACCUAACUAAAUCACUCACAAGAAUGUUGUUAGAAAAAUUAGGUUAAUCCAACUUAAAGUAAUCACCCUAGUGAGUGAAUAGGGUGAUAGUAUCUUUUUGAAAGUUUAAAUUAUAUAAAUGCAAGAGACAAUUAUAUGCAAAUAUAUAAUAAAACAAUAUAAAAACAAUUACGUAUAAAGUAAAAAAAUAGGAAAGAAAAUGCAAAUACAAGAUUUUUAUAGUGGUUCGACACAACCCGACCUACAUCCAUUUUCCUCUAACUUCAAUCCCAAACUUGAGGUUCCACUAAUUCAAAACUUCCAAAUCAAGCCUUCAAGCAAUAUAAUUGAUUAUGUUUUCAAUCAACUCUCUUAGACUUUUGGCUUAAAACACCAUUUAUAAUCCUUAAGAGAUACCUCAGGAUUGAAUGGUGUACUAAUGAUAUACAAGUUUAAGAACAAUGAUGCACUAAAAAACACUGUCGCAAGGCUCAAAUAUAUUCAAGAAAUUUUUAGAAAUGUUAAACUCUUUAAAUAAUGAAGAUUGGAACCUUUUUAUAGAGGAAAAAAAACGAAAUUAGUUGUUGUGAGUUCAUCCGGUCGAGCUUUGGUUCAACUAGCAUUUAAUGUAUGACAGAUGACCAUUGGACCUCAGCCGCCCCUCAACCGGUUAAGGUUCAACCUUGACAGAUUGAACAGACAUUCUGGAAAAGAGAUAAGAUUUUUGCACCAUUCGACUGAUUAAGCUAAAUGUGUCAACCAGUUCCUCAUCCUGUUCAACCGAUUGAGUUGUUUUUGGCUAAACAACCAUAAUUUUCAACUUAAAACCUUUUAAAUAAGAUUGAAAAACAUUUGACACAAAGUUUUAGUUGAAAAUAUGAAAUCAUCUAAUUUUAAAAGAUUUAAAACAAAAUAACUCUUAAAAGAUUUUGGUGCAUAAAUAAAAAAUGUAAUGUAGGAAAAACCUAGUGCAUUAACAACUUUACAAAGAGAUCCUAUGAAGUUUAGGUCUUGAAAAACACUUUUUUUUUAGGUUUUCUUCUUUUUAUUGAUUUCUCUUUAACUUGAUUUUGUCUUUGUGAUUACUACUUUGGAAAUCUUCUUGCCUAAUCACACUUGAAAUAUAAUCAUUAGUUUUAAACUUUGUUUUGUUAUCAUCAAAACUGAGAUUAACUAAACCUUGGUUUCACAAAUGUUUUAUGAGAACAUAUUUUUAUUGUUCAAAGUUGUUCUCAUAUAUUUUCUAAAUAUUAUUUAAAAAAAAUUGUAUAAAAAUAAAGUAUUAUGAAUAAGAGUUAUUUUUAAGAAAUAUUUGAAAACAUAGAAAAAUAUCUAGAGAAUAUUUCAAGUUCUCGAAUAGACUUUUGUUUUAUAAAACUUCAUAAAAUUGAUUUUAAAAAUUGUUUUUUGAUAACUGUUUUCUAAAACAUUCCUAAACAUUUCAUAAAUAUUUCUAUUUUUUUCAUUUGAUGAAUAGAACCCCGCCACUUACUUUGUAGCAUCAUUGGAACUCACCUUUCUUGACAUCAUCUACCCAUGUAAUGCCUCUGCUCAUCUCCCAUCCAAAAAAAAAAAAAAAAAAUCCCACGACCACAAAUGAGACAAUAAGGUCAUGACCAUGGCUGUGGUGGUGAAGUGCACGAGGUGUGUCGAUGGACAAAAGGUGUGUCAACAUUUAAGUGGGUGACACCAUCCUUGAUGUUACUAGCAUCAAUGAGAGAGAGUGGCCUCAUAUGACCAUAAUUAUUGUCCUACCUCCAUCCACAAUGUUGAAACCAUCAUUCAUGAGCUCUCUUCAAACUAAUCGUUACUUAUGAUUUCUACCCAUAAUCUCUUUUUUGCACUUCUCCAAUCUAGUAUGAUCUUCCACAUGUUGACGGUAAUGGAGGUAAUUCAGUGGGCCACAAUAGUGGAGGUGGCAAUGUUAGGGGAUGCGAUGGAGGUUUCAGGUGGUGAAUUGUGAGAAAGUCUCAUAAUUUUAUGAGUUUUUCCUCAAUGUGUGGCGAUCUAGGGUUUUGGCGGAUAUUUAAUUUUAUUCAAGGUUUUGAUAAAAGAGUUAAUUGGAUUAAACACUGCUGUAAUAUGUGACAUUGCUUCUUGGUCGAAUUUUAAGCUUAAUGAGCUCAAUUUCAUCUUCUCAAUCCCUAUGAUUGAUGAUGGACAAUGUGGUGUAUGGCAAAAAUAAAAAUAUUGAAGAAUUGUUGUUUUUGAGUUGUUGGUGGGGAUCCUUUUUGUUAUAGGAGAAUUGUAUUUUUGAGAAUCCUAGUAAUGACCCCAAAUGAUAUAAAUGGUUGCAAAAUUAUCCUUAAGCCUAGCAAUUGAUAUAUAAUUGAGUGGAAAAAUAUGUGACAUCCAUAAUAUCCAAAUACAUCUUUACAUCAAAUAUGAAAAUUGAGAAAACAAAAAUAAAAUAUAUCUUGACAUCAAGUCAUUUCUCUAACCGCGCGCUCUCUCUCUCUCAUCUAUCUUGCGAAUUUGAACACCAAAUAUAAAAAUUAUUUUAUUAUUAGCUCUAAUAGAAAAAAUAAAUAAAAAGAAGUAAAAACAUAAAGAAAUCUAAAAAAUAAUACAAUAAUAUAUUUGAAGUUUUUUUUUGAGAAACAUGUAUUGUAAAAAUGGAAGACUUAGAUGUAUGAAAUAAAUUUUUAUAUUUUAAAAUCUAUUUUUUAUUAUUAAAAUAAUUUUAUAUAUUUGAUAACUUAUUUUUUUUAGAAAAUGAAAAUUUUGUUAAAUUUUAUUGGAAUCAAAUUUUUUUUAUUAUUAGUUUUUUUUUUUUUUUACACCUUUCUCUCAUAUUUUGAUUUAUUCUAUGUACAUAUAUGAUAUGAAAAUUUUUCACCUACUCCAUUGAGUGAAUUAAUGAGAUUCUCCAUAUAAGAAAAUAAAAUUAAUUUAAAAAUUAUCUUACCCAAAUCAUUCUAAUAUUAUUAAUAGUCUUAGUUUUAAAAAUCUAAAAUUAGGUUGAAGGAUUAGAUUAUGUUUGAGAAUUAUGGAACAAUUUUUUUUUGUUUUUAAGAACAAAACAUAAAAAUAAAAAUAAAACCAUGUUUAGUUGUCAAUUGUUCCUUAUAACAUGGGUUUUUGAAAAUUGCUCUAAAAAUAAAGUAUUUUCUGAUAACAUAUUUUGAUUACUUUUUAGUUAUUUUUAUUUGUUUUAAAAAAUAAAUACAAAAAUGAUUGAAAAUAGAGUGUUAUAUAUAACUUUAUUUUUAAUAAAUAUUUAGAAAUAUAAAAAUUAAGUUGGGAAUAUUCUAAGUUUGUAAAUAAAUUUUGUUCUGAAAAAUUUCAAAGAUCAUUUUAAGAAAUGGUUUUUGAAAACAUCAAUCUAAGUAACUUCAUGAUACCUAACAACAUCAAACCCUUAUAAAACAGAACCUAAGUAACUUCAUCAUGAGUUCUCCUCACACAAACCAUUACAUCCAAUUCCCACCCAGAAUCUUCCACAUGUAGAGACAACAAAGGGAAUUUGACGAGUUACAACAACGAAGAUGGUAGUAGUGUUGGGGGGUGGAGGUUCAGGUGGUGAAUCAUGGAGGCUCUCAAAGUUCUAGGGCUUUUUCUUCAAUGAGUGGUGAUCUAGGGUUUUCUUUGGAUCUUUAGUUUCAUUCAAGGUUCCAAUUGAGAAGUUCAUAAAAAUGAGAGCUUACUACUAAGGGAUUUGAUAUCUAUUAGGGCUUUUGAGGUGCAUGCAUGUAAGAUCCUAGGCAUAAUGGAGGUAAUUAAAAAUUAAAACUUUGGUCCUAUAAGGUGCAUGUGUUAGAAAACAUACCAAGUGUUUGAAUGUCCCUAAACCCAAAUCUUUUUAUUUAUUUAUUUAUUUUGUAGAAGAUGUCUCAAAAUCUCAUGAUCUUUUACUCGAUGACUUCUUAUAUCGAUGACUAGUGUCUACAUAUUUCUUUAGGGAGAGAAAUGAAGGCUAGGUAUCUAGAAGACCAAGUCUUUAAAAAAUUAGAAAAAUUAGAGUCAACCCUAAAACCUAUAAAGUUUAUAUAGACUCUCAUGUGGGCUUAAGUGACUUUGGUUUAACUUAAACUUAAGUCAUUUAAUCUAAUUCACUGAAUUUUAAUUAAUUAAUUAAUUGACUUUAAUAUGUUCUAAUUAAUUAAUUAACUGAAUCUAGAUAAACAAAAUUAAUUAAUCAUAAAAUCAUAUGCAACUUGAUAUUUUAACCAAAAUGCCCUUAUAAUAUAAAUGAUUAAUUCUUCAUAAAGCCUUAAAAUAAAUAAUCAUAAGUGCUUGUGCAAUUGUACCAUUUUACUAAAACACUCUUUAUGUACACAUAUGAUUAAAUCUCUAAUUUUCCUCAAAAUUUUAUGCCAAAAAAGACUAUGAGCUCAAAUGAGGACCAUUGAUACUAGUAGGAAAAUAUUGACUCUCUUAAAAUAUAAUUUUGAAGUUGAUUCAACACUCUAUUAAAGAAAGUUAAUUGCACUCUAGUAUCCUAUGUUAUUAUAUCAAGCUAUGAAUUGAUUAAAUCCAAUUUAAUCAAUUCUUCUAGUCCUUAACAUACAAUCCACUAUAUGUAGAUUCUCCAUGAACAGAUGUCUAUAAUCUAAUUAUGAGGUAAAUGCUAUCAACCUUUCAAUAUUACCUCUACAAUCCUUGAGUCUCAAAUCCCUUUAUUAUGUAAUCAACUAACAUAUUUCAGCUUAUGAGGAACAUAUGUCCAAUUCCACUAAAGGAAUUAUUGUGACAUCAUAAAUUUUAUAAUCACAAGUCCUAAUGACCACUCAAGGGGACACGUUGUUUUAAUCUUAUGAGAUAUCAUAGUGUCUCUAUUAAGAAUACAUGUUACUAUUUGUUUUAAUUAAUAAUGAUCUAAUCGAUAGGGAAUAUACGACCACCUUAGGGUUUUACUCAUAAGUCAAAACUAUUGAAAACUUUAGUACUAACUCAAUAUCCUCUCAAUGUUGAGAUUUUAUGCAGUAUAGUAGUUUGGUGAAUUAUAAUUCCUUAAUAACCAAUGUCAUGAUUUAACAUAAAUUUUGUUCAAUGCAUAACAAUGCAUACUAGUACACUCACUAUGAGAAAUUCAUCCUAAUAAUUAAGACAAGACAUUCUUCCUAAUGCGCUAUAACCUUAAAUAGAUUAUUUAUGUCUAGAAACUGACUAUGAAUUACUCAUCAAUUUGCAAAGAACUCAUGACUUGAAUUUUUCAUACAACUCUUAAUGUAUCCAAAUAAUAUAUAAUGCAAAUGAUUUAGACUCGAAAGCUCAAAUAAAUAUCAAUACAGAUAAAGAUAGAUAGUAAAAUUUAACUUUAAUUAUUAUAUUAUAUCUUACUUUUAGAAGGAUUGUCUUAACAUUUACAUCAUUGAUGGCAAUGCAUCUUAGCCAAAUUUCAGACUCAAUGGCCCAAGUUCGUCUUCUCAACUGUUGUUAUCGGAGGAGGUGGUGUGGUAUAUGUUAAAGAGCAAAAACAGAAAUACUGAAGAAUCACUAUAUUUAGAUUGUUGGUGGGGGUUAUUGUUGCCAAUGAACUUUUGGUCCGCAUUGUGUAAAAAAUUAGACUGUCUAAUGUUUUAUAGUUUGAAAAUUUGGAGGUUUUUUUGGGUCUUACAUAAUUUUCCAUUUUUUCCUAGACAGGGAUAACGUGUUCAAAGACACACUAUGCAACAUGGAAUUAGGAUGCACUUUCCCCUGCCACAUCACCAAUGGAGCAUUACAUCAAUUUGAUUUGAUUACUGCCACGUAAUCAUUUGGUAUCAAUAAUCAGAAAAAUGAUCAAAUAAAAAAAGUAAUCAAGUAUUAUCAUUGAAAAGAAUUUAGUGAGAAAAAGAGCAUUAACUCAUCGGAUGAGGUGACUUUUUACGUUUUAUUUGAAUUAAUGGAACGAUUUAAUUGAUCUAUUUUCCCUUUCUCGAUUGAAAACAUGACCCGAUUAAAGGGCUUUUAAGAGCUAAUCAAUGCUUCCCUGUUGAGACAUAACGGAACUUUUAAUCAUAUAACUAGAUCAAAGAUUUCGUAUUCUAAUCAUAAUCACAAGAGACACCAAAGCUUACAAAAUCAAAGCUGGGCAUAUCAACGACAGCUUCUUUUACUUUGCACAUUCUCCCUUCAGGCCUUAAAUCCAGUAGACAAUGAAUCUGAGAUUCAUCUCUGGUACAUGGACAACAAAACAAAGCUACGAAGAUGAGAAAGAACAUUAACCCUUUCAGUUAUGUGAGUUAAAUGUUUCACAUAUUUUUAGCAUCUCCUUUGAAAAAUAAGCAAAAUACAAGGGAAAAGCUAAGCACUGGCGCUUGGUGUAGUAGACCUACUGGCCCAUUGAGCGGUCGUACUAUCUGGUGAUGGCAUCAGCUGGACGCUUUUCAACAACCCCACUUCAUCACAAUCUGGUGAAGGUGGCGGCGGCUCACGCAUCGAUGAUCCAACACUGUCCGCUGCUGCGUCCAUGUUCUCCAAUUCAUGCCUGUUACUCUCAAUUUCCUUCAAAAUCUCCAAAACUUCAUCCAUGGAAGGCCUCAUUUCCUUGUCAGGUUGCAGACAGCGAAAGGCUAAUUCUGCUACCAGAGUAGUCAUCCUAUUAACCGCAAGAUCUGAAUUGAAUCCAAGAUGUGGGUCAAUCAGCUCGUGAAAUGCACAUUUUUGUAUCUUGUUUAUAGCGUAGUUAGACAAAUUGAUCUCAUGCUUAAGCCUACUAAAGUCUACAGCAGGCAGUGAUGAUAUGAGUUCAAUAAGGACAACCCCGAAGCUGUAAACAUCGCUCUUGUCGGUAAGCUGGUGACAUAGGUGAUAUUCUGGAUCAACAUAGCCGGGAGUUCCCUGUGGAGCGGUUGAGACAUGGGUAACAUCAGUGGGGAAGAGUCGUGAAAGCCCGAAAUCUGCGACUUUAACGCAGAAACUAUUAUCCAGGAGAAUGUUCUUAGUUUUCACGUCCCGGUGUACAACAUCAGAAGCAUGGAGAUAACAUAAUGCGCUGGCAGUUUCUAUGGCAAUACUCAAUCGGAUAGGCCAUGUGAGUAAGCCUGAAUCUGCUCGAUUCCCGUGGAGAUGAUCAGCGACUGUUCCAUUGGGAAUAAAUUCGUAAACCAGAAGGAGUUCACGGCUGUGGCGUGAGGUGCAGCCGUAAAGGGAGACAAGAUUCCGGUGGCGCAAACGAGUGAGGAUUUGAACUUCAUUCAUGAACUGUUCAACCCGCCUGUAAUUGUUCUCGUAUAGGCGCUUGACGGCAACCUCUCGCCCAUCUCGCAGUUGUCCUAUUUGACAAAUAUCAAAGAAUAGCCUCUUCAAAAGGGUGACAAAUUUGUCGUUUUAAGUUUUUUUUUUGCUAAGUAUUUUCCUAGUGAUUAGGUGAACUAUUAACAGAAUCACAGUUGUCCAUCACCUUACCAUGGUAUACAGUUCCAAAACCUCCAUCUCCAAUUUCUCUAUCAGGGACAAAAUGAUAAGUGGCUUCUUCAAGUUCACUGUAGGGGAAAAUGGGGAUGCCAAAAUACGUCCCCGUUGUUUCCAAUCCUGGUUGUGAAGAGGGAUCUGAAGAAGUGUUCCUUGAGAGGAAAGUUGAAGCAUACUUCCUUUUAUGGCGCUGUCGGAUGAUGAAACAAAUUAUUAAGAUGGUAAUGCCUCCGGCGCUGAUACCUGUAGUGGGAAAAAAGACAAUAGUCAAACUUAAUGCCAACUACGUUAAUGCUAAGAGAGUUUUCUACCAAGGACAUAUGGAAACAUAUGCAUAGAAGAAUUUAAAGAUCUUAGUGGAAAUCGAUUUUGGAUUCUUAACCCACAAAGAAGAUGGUGAGAAAUUGAAAUUUGAUCAUUACCAAAAUCCCCAAUAAAAGAAAAUUUUCCUUACAUCUAUUACAGAUAAACUCAUUUCAAAUGCUAAAAAGUGCAAGAUUAUGGAUUAAUUGGAUUCAGUUGGUGUCCAAACACAUGCAGAGAGCAAAUAUUUUUAUUUACAAGAAUCUUGCUAAAGAAGUAUAUUACCUGAUCCUAGGGCUAGCUUCAAUCGAUUGUCAUUCCCUGCAAGACAAAUAACAAAUAGCAACGAUAAUAGUUUAAACAGUAAACAUUGUAUUAAUCUACAUCAAAUUGGUAUUCUCCAGAACAUUAAAGAGUACACUCAUAAAAAUAAGAGUCAAAACUUGCUUCUGCAAAUCUAAUAUAGAUUACAUUGCACAAACAACAAUUUUCUCAUACCAGAGCCCUACAGUUAGAAGAGAGGAAUUCAUGCUACAUACAUAGCAACAGGUUUUGUAAAUGCAAAAGAAAAAAAGAGAAGGAAAAAAAAAACCAAGAAUAAAGGAAGGGAAGAGAAAAGAGGAGAGAUUGUUAUGUGUUGUGCACCUUUCACAUGUGCACACUGGAAUUUUCCCUUUUCAUCAUCUUGGCAUUGGCCUCCUCUAUUGAGACAAUUCCAACAGUGUGAGAACACAUUCACUUCAAGAGUGAUAUCAGGAGUCAACAGGGAAUCCAGUUUAGCGAUACCUACAGUACUCAUGUUUACUGGAUACUGAAUAAUUGAACAGCCAGGUGGAGGUGGAGUUGGAGGAAUAUGAUUUGAAUGAUUAUAGUGGAUAAUGUAGUCUUGACAUCUGGUAUAAUUAUACUCUGUAAUAAGAUCAAUAUUGUGACUACGGUGGCAUUUAAACAGGGUUAGUUCGGUUAGGGUGGGUACUGGUGUGAAAAAAACAGAAGGAGAAGGGGAAGAAGUUAAGUUGUCGAUGAAGUCACAUCUGCCAUGUUUCAAGUGCUCUUGAAGCUGCUCAUCUUGAAUUAUUAUGGUAUCACCCUGGAUGUUUUUCACCUCAAAAUGUCUUCCUCCCCUUUCCAGUUGGAUCUUCGGAGCCUCUUCAGUGCAAUUUACUAUUGUACGCAAUCCGCAUUCUGGAUUUGUUUCAUUGUUGAAGGGAAAUUUAAGCCAGCCCAGUUUUCCACAUUGGAAGAAUGAACAAUUUGGAGGGUGUUUCCCUUCUUUUCCUGAAGAAGAAAGAAGCACAGAAUGAGAGAGAAUAACUAGAACAAGAAAAGAAACAGAUCCCAUGCGAAAUCCCCAAUUCAACAACAAAAGCAUGGCACCAAACCGACGGCAACAGGGUAAUCUUCCUCUCCCUUUAAGCCAUGUUUUCUCUUCUGUAUCUGCUUAGCACGGCAGUUGACUUGGAAAUGAGAUACAAGAAGACUUGGGAAAGAGACUUUCUACUGGUGGGCCAAGAGUCUUUGGUAGCCCAUGUGAAAUAGGCCAUCAUUUUCCAUUGGCCAACAAAUAGACACCCAAUCCACAAUGGGAGUUUCCAACUCACCUUCUACAUUGCAUAGAAAGACUCGACUUGCUGCAGCUCUCAAUUUUCAAAAUCAGGACAUAAAAACAGAGUGGUCUUGUGGAGCAAAAGUAGAAGACGGGGUAAACGGAAAGGAGAAAACACGACAGGUCAUAGAUUAAUGGGUACUUUGUUAGUCCCUUGAUAUCAGGGAACCCUUUCCUGGGGCAAGGGUAGGUGCGUGUGAGAGGAAUACAAGUUUUCAUAUGUUUGACUCUGGCUACGACAUUUCCUUAGUUUCAGGGAUUCACCCGAUCAAAAUAAAGCUCAAAGAUAGCAUACGGUCCAACGGCAGGUUGGUGUGCUUGCUUAUUUCGCCAGAACAAGGAAAUUAAGGGUUAAAAUAAGCCAUAAGACAUGAGAACUAAAAACAAACAGGCCUGGAAGGAAUGAAGAAACCUUCCUAUUCUCCUCAUUUCGUAGAAAGGAGUGCAUAAUUUGCAAAAAUUUAGUAAAAGAACCAAACAGAAAAUAAAAGAAAAGGCAGCCAGUCAUUCUUUGCCUCACCGUCAUUGCAAUGUGUGGUAUGAUCGAUCUGGGCAAAGACUUGCUGCAUCAUUAUUUUCAUCAAACACACAACGACCACCACUUAAUUGGCACUCAAUGCAGUUAAUACCAGUCCAUCGAAGACUAAAUCCAUUCUUCAGUAACUGUAUGUAGUCCAUAGUCUCCACUGUUUGAUUAUACUGCCUUCCCUCCAAAUCCACCGGUGCGCCGACGUACCUCUCACGGGCCAUCUCUUCAACCAGUUUUUCAGAGUUUCAAUUCAUAUACCCAGUGUUCAAAAGAGCAACAGAAUAAUUUGUGGCAGUGGAAGCACAAGUUACUGGAGAAUGUGCGUAAAUAAGAGGUACUCGUUUUGUGCAAUUAUAAAAUAAAAGGAAAUAAGAUCAACAAACUUGGUGGUGAAUUCAAUGGAAGAAAAAUCAAACACAAAACAAUGUUAAGGGGCAACACAGGAGGUGUUAACCACUUCCUUGUUGACCAACCGAAAUGAUUGGGUCUCAUAAGAGAUAUCUUCAAUGAAGUAAUUUCUGGAUGUUCUAAAGAGAGGCUUAUUUUCUUCACAAAAAAUUCCAAAGCCUGGGUGACCACAGAAGUCUAUUUCAGUGUCAUAGAUAUAAAACGGGUAGCUUAUGUUUGGGCCACUCCCACAGUUCUUAGGCUUGCAAGGUCCAUACUUGUGGUCAACCAGUGCAUAUGACUCCGCAGCCAAGGGGCAAACGAGGAUACUGAUCCCAACAUAGAACAAGUAGUGUGGACACAUUUGGAUGGACAUUGUUGGAGAAAAAGGGAACCCAGACUGACAUUGGGUGUUUAAUUUGACUGGAUUUGCAAUGCUUCUUCUAGACUUCAAAUAUUCCACAGCAUCUACCGGCCAUAAACCCUCUCUUUUCAAAGAGGAUUUACAAUAUGUAUUAUACUGCAAACUAAAUAUGUAAAAUACAAGAUGUCUUCGUCCGGAAAAGCCCUUCCUUAGUUGGACUGCAAACAUUAGGCUCUUAUGUAACUUGUACUCUUCCGAAACAACAAACAAUAAUGACAAAAACUAUGGAAUUUAUAUAUGACUCGAAAUUUCUUGGGAGGACUGUGGAGGAGAAGGGUCCAAGUAGAAGUUUCCAUAACUCAUUGCAUGCCUUUGAGUUGCAGAACUGACUUUUGGUCAAGGUCUUCCCCUGCCUAGCUGGUUAUGAGAAAAUACACCCCCUUUUAGGUUAAUGGAUGGAUUUGGACUUUGGCCCUGGGAUGGAAAUAUCGUGAUUCUUUUUUUUAAUUUAAUUAUUAACACUUAAAAUUAAGGAGGGCGUUUCUAGAUUUCAACAAAAUGCUCUUACUCCUUGUGGGAGUUUUGGGCUAAGCACCAUGUUCUAUGGGCUGCAUAAUUGGGCCCAUAGAAGAAAUAGGCCCAUCCUAAGAACUUGGUCAAGAUGUUUGGCCCACAGGAAACAUGUCCAAGCACGAUGAAGCAAGGUGGGAAUUAACCGCCCUUCAGAAAUGAGCCUGGGGAGGAUCGUGUGAAAAAUAGAACGUGGGAAGGUUUUUCCAUUCAGAUUAAAGAGCUAUAAAAAAGGUGGAAGUAAGAAGAGAAAAACGUAAGAGGUAUAUAGGGAAAAAAGGAUUCAUUGGUAUUUUCUUUGAAAAAGUAUGGAAUUGACUUUAUCAUCUAAGGGUCUCCCUGGGAAUCUCCCAGGUGAACCUUGUAUUGCAGGACCUAUUUUAUUCUGAUCGUGCUCCCAGGCUCUUUACAUUCCAAAUCACAGUUUCUUUUUAAAUAUUACACCAACGAAUAGAAUCAUCGCCCUGGGUCCCUACGACCAUCAUCUCAUGCCAACUUGAGCAUGAUAAACAUAUAACAGUACAAAUGCAAAAUAAUUUUCAAGAUUUUCGUGAGAGGUUUGGUAUUCAAUAAUUGCGUUACUAAAUCACAUUCUUCAAAUCAUUUUACUAGGACAAUCAUUAAUUUUUGUUCAAAAUUUACUAACUUCUAAUAUUAAUUUUUUUCUUUUCGAGUAAGACAACUUAUAUUUGAUAGUGAGAUUAAGACAAUCUUUCAAUUAACAGUGUUUAAUUAACAAAAUUUAACCGUAAAUUAACUCAAGUCUAUGAUAUCUCCCUAACAAAAAAAUGGUUUAGUAAAUAUUUUAAUUGAAUAAUAACGUUAAGACUAAUUGAAUGAUCAUAUGAUAAGGUUGCAUAUAAUACUUCCUUAUGCAUGGGAAUAUGUUUUAGUCCCAGAAUGCUUAGCUUUAUUUUAGUGUAUAUAGGUUAUUAAAAAUAUCCACAUGAACUUCACAACUAGUAUAAAAUUUUGAAUCAUUGUUUUAGUUAUUAAAUUGAUCAUAAGAUUUAAGGUAAUUGUUUCCAAUGUUGUGUUAGUUGUAAGCCAUUUUCUACAUCUUAUAAUAUUUUAAAAUUAGGGUAUUUGUUUUAACAAUUUUAAUUAUUCAUACUCAAUGCUUCACAAAUCCUAAGUGGAGAGAGGGUGAGGGUAAGGAUAAGGAUAUAAAGGAAAAGUUCAUACCCAUAAACAAAUCUUUCCUAUGGUAUGAUUCAUAUUAGGCAUGAGACUGUUCCCAAAAAAGCCCUCAACACCUUGAGUGAUAUAGAAAGAGUAGUAGAAAACAAAGUAGAAAACAUGUUGGAUAACUUGGAUAUCCUUAACUAGUAAACUCCCUCAAGGUGGAAGCAAUGAUCAAGACACUAGAGAAAAAAUGAUAGACAUUUGUGGAGGUAUGAUCAAGACACUAGAGAAUAAAUGGCGAAUAUUUGUGGAGGUAGCAUCAACAAGUGGCCAAUAUAUCUAGUGAUAAAUACUAGUGCCACCUACAACUUUUUCAUCAUGGAAGAGGUAAAACAAUAAAGGUGAGAUUGUUAACUUAGAGGCAUGCCUUUAAAUGAUAUAGUUCAAUCAAUAGAGCAUCCAUGAAAGUAUGUGUAAUAAUCCAUUCACUCUCAUACAAAUAUUGUUUAUUCUAAGUCCAACAAGAUCUCUUAACUUUAAAGCAUGUCUACAUAGUUAAGAGGAAUUAUAAUGACAAAAACUUUUUUUCCUAACUAAUGCAAGAUAUCACAAUUACUUCUCUUAUAGACAUAACGUCCUCAUUGUAUCUCAUAGGAUUAUGAGAUCAAAUAAAAAGAUGUCCCUUGGGGGGCUAAACAAACACUUACACUGAUAUUAUGAAUUAACUUUGAGAUCAUUUGUAACAAUAUGCUCUCCCUCACAUUGAUAUUGUCUACUCUAGACCCAAAGGGGCAUCUUGCUAUUUGAUCUCACAAUCUUGUGGGACACAACGCGACAUUAUAUCUACAAAGGGGAUGAUUGUAAUAUCCUACAUUGGAUGAGGAAAUUUUUUUUGACAUUAUAUAUGUAUAAAUUUUUCUAAAUCAUGUAGACAUAUUUUAAAGUCGAGAUUAUAUUCUUUUUGUUGUUUCACUUCAUAUUAUUUAUAUAUUUUAAAAAAAUAUGAACUUAAAUAUUUUGUGUUAUUAAAAAAUUGUUUUUAAAAUUUAAAGUAAUAUAAAUUCCUUUGUACUUUUAACUUGUAGGAUAAAUGUCACUAUAUUUUAUAUAAAAAUUAUUGUUAUUAUUAUUUUAAGUAAAGAAAACAUAUCCAAACAUCAUCUAAAUAAUAAGAAAUGAUCUAACAACUAGUUUUUUAAAUAAGAUCAAUGAUUUCGUAUUCUAAUCAUAGUCACAAGAGAGACCAAAACUAGCAAAAUCAAAACUAGGUUAUCAAUGACAACUUUUUAACUUUGUACAUUCCCUUCAGACCUUAAAUCCAGUAGACAAUGGAUCUAAGGUUUAUCUUUGGUAUAUGGACAACAAAACAAAGAUACGUAAAUGAGAAAGAACAUUAACCCUUUCAUUUACAUCUGGUUAUAUGUUUCACAUAUUUUUAGCAUAUUCUUUGAAAAAUAAGCAAAAUACAAGGGAAAGUUAAGCAUUGGUGCUUGGUGUAGUAGACCUACUGUCCCAUUGAGCAGUCACUACAUCUAGUGAUGGCAUCAGCUAGACACUUUUUAACAACCCCACUUUAUCACAAUCCGGUGAAGAUGGCGGCUUACUCAUCGACGAUCCAACACUAUCGACUAUUGUGUCCAUGUUCUCCAAUUCAUGCUUGUCACUCUCAAUUUCCUUCAAAAUCUCCAAAACUUCAUCCAUGAAGGACUCAUUUACUUAUCAGGUUGCAACAUGUUUUGCUUUUAGCGAGAGAAACAUAGGUAGUGGCCUACAAAGGCUUCUGAGACGUCUCGAAAAGUGUUCACGAAAUUUUGCGAGAAGCAAUGGAACCAGGAGAGAGCUUAACCAUGUAGCCUGGCCAAAAAAACCUUACAUAUCAGUGCACCAUUCCCUAUGUCGAGGGUUAUGAGCUAUCUGAAAUGCUUGAUGUGGUCAAACGGGUCGCUCGUUCCAUCAUAUAUUGUGAACUUGGGCACUACGAACCCUCUGGGCAACUCGUAGUUAAUGAUAUGGGGAUCGAAAGACGUGAAAAACAUGUCAUCCAACCGUCAGUUGAUAGAGUCAAGUGGGGCUCGAGUUGCCAAUACUUUCGCCUACUGCUGCCUUGGUAGUUGAGAAGAUCAUUCAGAUGUAGUUGCUAGGAUUGGCUGACCUAGACGUGCCCUUAGUGUUUCUAACAUACAUGGUUGCUCCUUCAUGCCUGUGCUUGAAGUCAUAGUUGGGCUCGCAUCGCGUCAGAUAAAUGUGACAUUCUGCUACACCUCAUUUUCCUUGAUGCCCGAGUGGAGUUAGUGUUUUCGUCCAACUAUGUUUGACGAGUUGGCGAAUGCUACUCCUCAAAUCGUCUCGAGCAGUUACCAGAUGAGAAAUCUGUGCCCCAGAGGAAAGAUACCUCAACAAUUCAUCUUAAGGUUGUUUGUCAGCUUUGAGUGUGCCGACUUUGAGAGGGGCCCACUGUUGACAUUUGAGUCUGCAAUUCUUCGUUCUCUUCUCUUAGUCGUUUCAUUUGGAGGAGUAGAGUUUGCAUCUGCCGUUCAUUUUCUCAUUGGCAUCUCUCCAUCUUUUCACACCAGACAAAAUAGUAUUCGUCACCCAUAACUAAUAAUGGGUUUCUUGAGGGUGUUGAUAUCUUUAGUCGGUUUCCACAAAUGACGCCAAUGUUGGUCUUGUGCCAACUGAAUACAGGUCUGUCUAGCUUCACUAAAGUCAGAUGAACUUCUUCCCUACACAAAAUUAUGUCUGAACAAGUGGUCCGGGUACGCCCCUUCAAAGCUUAAGUCACAAUCUAGCAAAAGUGAAUUCAACUAUUUUGAAUGGCUAUGUGUGAGUGUCCUUUUUUCAUGCUUCUCGAGGGGUUUUUAUAAAACAUAUGGCACCAUCUUCACAACGUUGAUUGUGCAUUCAUGUCUUUCUUGUACUAAUGAUCGCCAUCGUGGAGAAUGCUAAGCCUUAAUAAGGUAAUCAACGUCAUCAUCUCAAUGUGGACUAGGCAAUCAUACCAAACAAGAGCUGCUAAUUGGUGUCAUUUGUUGGCUGUCAUGUAAGAAUCUCGGACCAUAUCGCUGACUAUGCAUUUACGUUUAUCAAUGUUGCUGAUUGCAUGUAACGACUGAUUGACAUUGAUUUUUGGGUGUAAAUGACAUUUAAAUUGUCGCUCAGGCAUUGAGUGUGAUUAAUCAUCUGUCUAAUGCUUGAAAUUUUCGACUGGGUUGGUUUGUCUAUCUGGAAGCCCCGAUCGACAUUCCAUAUGGCAUUGGGGAAAAAAGAAAUUUAUCUUUCCUCUUGUGCUAGACAGAGCUUAUCUUGGUUCAGACGGAUUGAUACUAGAUGGAUUAUCUACUUACCUUAGACGACCAAAGGGUCUUGAGCUUAAGAAAGACACGUGAAGUGAAGCUUUCCACACUCUCCACUAUUUGAUUAUAUUACCUUCUCUCCCAAUCCAUCGGUGCACCCACGUACCUCUCACAAGCCAUAAUUUCAAGCAUUUUUUUCAAAGUUCCAAUUCAUAUACCUAGUGUUCAAAACAGCAACAGAAUAAUUUGUGGUAGUGGAAACACAAGUUAUUGGAGAAUGUGCGUAAAUUAGAGGUAUUCCUUCUAUGCAAUUAUAAAAUAAAAUAAGAUCAACAAACUUGAUGGUACAUUGAAUGGAAGAAAAAUCAAACACAAAAAAAAUUGUUGAAGGGCAACGCAUGAGGUGUUAACCAUUUCCAGCUUGUUGACUAACCAAAGUGAUUGGGUCUCAUAAGAGAUAUCUUUAAUGAAAUAAUCACUUCUGAAUGUCCAAAAGAGAGGCUUAUUUUCUUCACAAAAAAUUCCAAAGCCUGGGUAGCCAAAGAAGUAUGUUUCGGUGUCAUAGAUACAAAAUGGGUAGCUAUGAAAAAGUUGUAGGUAGCACCGAAUAUAUUAGCAAACUGUUGAUGCUACCUCCACAAAUUUCCAUCAUUUAUUCUCUAGUGUCUUGAUCAAUAUUUCUCUCUUGAGGAAGUUAAGGAUAUCCAAGUAAUCUAAGACAGUCAAGGUGGCCAAUAUAUCUAGGGAUAAAUUCAAAGUUCAAAGACAACUAUAUAGUCAAGGUGGAUCGAGGUUGAUAACUUAGAGGCACGCCUUUGAAUGAUAUAGUUCAGCCAGUAGAGUCAUCCGUGAAAGUAUGUGGAAUGAUCAAUUCAUUCUCACGUAAAUAUUGUCUAUUCUAAGCCCAUUAAGGUCCCAUAGUUUUAAAGUGCGUCAAACAUGAUUAAGAGAAAUAUAUAUAUAAUGACAUGAACUUUUUUCCUAACUUAUGUGAGAUAUCACAAUCACCUUCUUUCAAACAUAACAUCUUUGACAUAAUUGUGAGGUCAAACAAAUGGAUAUCCAUUGCAUAGGUAAACAAACUUACACACUGAGGUUAUGAGUGCAACUUUAAUACUAUUUGUAAUAGUUUGUUCCCUUUUACAUAAAUAUUAUCCACUCUAAACCCAAAAGGGUAUCUCGCUAUUUGAUCCAACAAUCUUAUGAGACACAAUGGAACGUCAUAUUUGCAGAGGGAAUGAUUUUAAUAACUCACACGGGGAAAAAGUUUCUAAUUUUAUAUAUGUAUAAACUCUUCUAAACCAUAUAUAUGAAUUUUAAAGUUGUGGUUAUAUUUUUUUUGUUGUUUCACUUCAUAUUAUUUAUUUAUUUAAAAAACAUAAAAAUCAUUUUUGAAAUUUAAGGUAAUAUAAAUUUCUUAGUACUUUAACUUGUAAGAUAAGUGUCACUAUAUUUUAUAUAAAAAUUAUUGUUAUUAUUAUUUUAAGUUAAAAAAAAAAAAGACAUAUCCAAACAUCAUCUAAAUUAUAAGAAAGGAUCUAAAAACUAAAUUUUUAAUUAUAUAACAAGAUAGAUGAUUCCGUAUUCUAAUCACAAUCACAAGAGAGACCAAAACUAGCAAAAUCAAAACUGGGCAUAUCAAUGGCACCUUCUUCAACCUUGUCAUUCCCGUCGGACCUUAAAUCCAGCAGACAAUGAAUCUGAGAUUCAUCUCUGCUACAUGGACAACAAAACAAAGAUAUGAAGAUGAGAAAGAACAUUAACCCUUUCAUUUACAUCUGGUUACAUGUUUCACAUAUUUUUAGCAUCUCCUGCGAAAAAAAGGCAAAAUACAAGGAAAAGUUAAGCACUGGCGCUUGGUGUAGUAGACCUACUGGGCCAUUGAGCGGUCACAGUAUCUAGUGAUGGCAUCAGCUGGACACUUUUCAACAACCCCACUUCAUCACAAUCUGGUGAAGGUGGAAGCGGUGGCUCAUGCAUCGACGAUCCAACACUGUCGGUUGCUAUGUCCAUGUUCUCCGAUUCAUGCUUGUCACUCUCAAUUUCCUUCAAAAUCUCCAAGACUUCAUCCAUGGAAGGCCUCAUUUCCUUAUCAGGUUGCAGACAGCGAAAGGCCAAUUCUGCCACCAGAGUAGUCAUCCUAUUAACCGCAAGAUCUGAAUCAAAUCCAAGACGUGGGUCUAUCAGCUCGUGAAAUGCGCAUUUUUGUAUCUUGUUUAUAGCGUAGUUAGACAAAUUGAUCUCAUGCCUAUGCCUAUUAAUGUCUACAGCAGGCAGUGAUGAUAUGAGCUCAAUAAGGACAACCCCAAAGCUGUAAACAUCGCUCUUAUCUGUAAGCUGGUAACAUUGGUGAUAUUCUGGAUCAACAUAGCCGGGAGUCCCUUGUGGAGCGGUUGAGACAUGGGUAACAUCGGUCGGGAAGAGUCGUGAAAGCCCGAAAUCUGCGACUUUAACACAGAAACUAUCGUCCAGGAGAAUGUUCUUAGUUUUCACGUCCCGGUGUACAACAUCAGAAGCAUGGAGAUAACAUAAUGCAGUGGCAGUUUCUAUGGCAAUACUCAAUCGGAUAGGCCAUGUGAGUAAGCCUGAAUCUGCUCGAUCCCCGUGGAGAUGAUCAGCGACUGUGCCAUUGGGAAUAAAUUCGUAAACCAGAAGGAGUUCACGGCUGUGGCGUGAGGUGCAGCCGUAAAGGGAGACAAGAUUCCGGUGGCGCAAACGAGUGAGGAUUUGAACUUCAUUCAUGAACUGUUCAACCCGCCUGUGAUUGUUCUCGUAUAGGCGCUUGACAGCAACCUCUCGCCCAUCUCGCAGUUGUCCUAUUUGACAAAGAUCAAAGAAUAGCCUCUUUAAAAGGGUGACAAAUUUGUCGUUUAAGAGUUUUUUUUUUUUUUUGCUAAGCAUUUUCCUAGUGAUUAGGUGAAGUAUUAACAGAAUCACAGUUGUCCAUCACCUUACCAUGGUAUACAGUUCCAAAACCUCCAUCUCCAAUUUCUCUAUCAGGGUCAAAAUAAUUAGUGGCUUCUUCAAGUUCAGUGUAGGGAAAAAUGGGGAUGCCAAAAUACGCCCCCGUUAUUUCCAACUCUGAUUUUGAAGAGGGAUCUGAACAAGUGUUUCUUGAGAGGAAAGUUGGAGCGUACUUCCUCUUAUGGCUCUGCCAGAUGAUAAAGAAACAAAUUAUUAAGAUGGUAAUGCUUCCGGCACUGAUACCUGCAGUGGGCAAAAAAGGCUGGUCAAACUUGAUGUCAACUACAUUAAUGCUAAAAGAGUUUUUCACUACAGACAUAAGGAAGAUGAUGUAUAAAGAUCUUAGUGGAAAUCACUUCUGUAUUGUUUAACCACAAAGAAGAUGGUGAGAAAUUGAAAUUUGAUCAUUACUGAAAUCCCCAAUUAAAGAAAAAAUUCCUUAUAGUUGACAGAUAAACUCAUUUUAAAUGCUAUAAAGUGCAAUAGAUUAAGGCUUAAUUGGAUUCAGUUGGUGUCCAAACACAUGCAGAGAACAAAUAUUUUUUAUCUACAAGAACAUUGCUAAAGAAGUAUAUUACCUAAUCCUAGGGCUAGCUUCAGUCGCUUGUCAUUCCCUGCAAGACAAGUAACAAAUAGCAACAAUGUUAGUUUAAACAGUAAACAUUGUAUUAAUCUACAUCAUAUUGGUAUUCUCCAGAACAUUAAAGAGUACACUCAUAAAAAGAAGAGUCAAAGCCUGCUUCUGCAAAUCUAAUAUAGAUUACAUUGCACAAACAUCAAUUUUCUCAUACCAGAGCCCUACAGUUAGAAGAGAGGAAUUCAUGCUACAUACCUAGCAGCGGGUUAUGUACUUAAAUGCAAACGAGGAAAAUAAAAGGGCAAAAAAAUGAAAAAGAACAGAGGAAAGGAAUAAGAAAAGAGAUUGUUAUAUAUGUUGUGCACCUGUAUGUGCACACCGGAAUUUUCCCUCGUCAUCUCGACAUUGGCCUCCACUAGAGUGACACUUCCGACAUUCACGGGACAGAUGCACUUCAAGAGUGAUAUCAGAAGUCAACAGGGCAACCAGGUUGUCCAUUCCUAAACUCAUGUUUAUUGGAUACUGAAUAAUAGAACAGUCCAGUGGAGCUGGAGGUGGAAGAGUGGGAGUAUGGUUUGGUUGAUUAUGAGGUAGAGGUGGAGGAAUGGAAGUAUGAUUUGGAUGAUUAUAGUGGAUGAUGUAGUCUUGACAAUCGGUAUAAUUAUGAUCUGUAGUAAGAUCAAUAUUGAGAUUACGGUGGCAUUUGAACAGGGUUAGUUCGGCUAGAGGGGGUACUGGUUUGAAAGAAACAGAAGGAGAACGGAAACGAGUUAAGUUAUCAAUGAAUUCACAUAUGCCGCGUUGCAAGUUCUCUUGAAGCCGCUUAUCUUGAAUUACUAUGGUAUCAGCCUGAGAGAUGUUUUUCACCCCAAAAUAUCUUCCUUCCCUUUCCAGUUGGAUCCGUGGAAGCCCUUCAGUACAUCUUGUUACUGUGCAAAAACCGCAUUCUGGGUUUGUUUCGUUGUUGAAGGGAAAGUGAAGCCAGCCCAGUUUUUCACAGUGAAAGGGUGGACAAGUUGGAGGCUGUUUCCUUUCUUCUUCAGCAGAGGAAAGAAGCACAGAAUGAGAGAGAAGAAAUAGAACAAGAAAAGAAACAGAACCCAUGCGAAAUCCCCAAUUCAACAACAAAAGCAUUGGCACCAUACAGACAGAAACAAGGUAAUCCUCCUCUCCCUCCAUACCGACAGAUACAAGGUAAUCCUCCUCUCCCUUUAUUUAAACAAUGUUUUCUCUCUUUUAUCUGCUUAGCACGGCAGUUGACUUGGAAAUAAGAGACAAGAAGACUUGGGAAAGAGAAUUUCUACAGGAUGGGCAAGAGUCUCUGGUAGGUGAAAUAGGCCAUUGUUUUCCUUUGGCCGACCAAUAGACACCCCAGAAAGGGAGUUUCCAACUCACCUUCUCCUUUGCUUAGAAUGACUUGACUUCAUACAGCGCUUAAUGUUCAAAAUCACGACAGUAUUUAACAAAGUAAAGGCAUAAAAAAAUAUUGGUCCUGUGGAGAAAAAGUAGGAGACUAGGUAAAGGAAAAAGAGAAGACAUGGGUUUUUUUUAGUUUCUACAAGUUUCAAGAAAAAUUCUUAAAAAAUGGUAAUUAAAAAAUUUAUAGUACUCUUUACCACGUCAAAGGUGUAAAGACAGCUUUACAAUUUUCAAAUCCGCUUAGAAAAACUGAAUUUAAAUUAAAGGUGACCAUUUACAGUUUCAAAAAAAUGAAUUUAUAUUGAAGUGUUUUUUGAAGAAAUUUUUUAUAAUUUUAAAAAAUUCAAUAUAUAAUAAAGAUGUCUCUUUAAAAAACAACUUUUAUAAUUUUUAAAUUCAUAAUAUACACUUAAAAUAUUUUAAUUUAAACUAAAGGUGUUUAGACAGCUUUUAUAAUUCUAAAAAUUUGGAUUUAUAUUUAAAUUCUUAGAUACUUUCCACAAUUUCAUAAAAUUCAAUAUAUAUUAAAAGUGUCUCUUGAAAAGAUAUUUUUUUAUUAUUAUAAAUUCAAUUUUUUUUUUUUUAGAAUUUUGAAAGGUAUCUCGAGUAAACACUUUCCAACCUAGUAAAAAGUGUCAUAGAUUUGAAAAUAUUUUCCAAUAUGCUGCAUUUUAAAAAAUUAAUUUUAUAUUCCUAAUAUUUUGAUCUAAAAUCUGUCCCUAGAUAUCAGGGAACCUUUUCCUAGGGCAAGGGUAGGUGCAUGUGGUUUUUUUUUUUUUUAAAAAAAAAAAAAUCUUAAAAAAUGGUAGUUACAAAAAUAUUGACAAAUUUAUGACAUUUUUUACCACGUCAAAAGGUGUCUCUUUAAAAGACAUUUUCCACAAUUUUUAUAUCAAUGAUAUACAUUAUAAAAAAGUGAAUUUAAAUUAAAGUUGUCUUUUGAAUUAACAUCUUUUACAAUUCCUAAGUGAAUUAAAUUUAUAUUAAAGGUAUCUUUUCAAGAGACACUUUUUCACAAUUUUUUUUAUCAAUCCAUUAAAAAAUUGAAUUUAUAUUAAAGGUGUAUUUUGAAAAGACACCUUCAAGAAUUUCACACAAUUGAAUUUAUACUAAAUGUCUUUUCAAAAGACAUCUUUCACAAUUUUCAUAUCCAUCACACAAUAAAAAUAUGUAUAUUAAAUGUGUCUUUUUAAGAAACACUUUUAAUAUAAAUUUGAUUUUAUUGAAUUAUAAAAAUGUCUUUUGAAAAAAUACUUUUAAUAUAAAUUUAAUUUUUUUGGAAAUGUGAAAUGUGUCUCUUGAAAAAACACAUUUAGUUUAAAUUCAAUUUUUUUAAAGUGUACCAUAGAUAUGAUAAUUGUGAAAAUUGUAUCUUCAAGAGAUAUCUUUAAUUUAAAUUUAAUUUUUUUUUAAACUUAUAUCAUUGAUAUAAAAAUUGUGGAAAAUGUCUCUUCAAAAUACAUUUUUUGACAUAACAAAAAGUAUGUAGAUUUGGAAAUAUUUUCCAACGUACUGCAUUUUUUAAAUUUAAUUUUAAAUCUACCAUACUUUCAUAAAAAAGGAAAAAUUGUGUUUUGGAUUAAGUUGAGCCCAAAAAUUAAUAUUUAGCCCAUAAAAGUUGCAUAAUUGAUGAGAAUGAUAUAAAUUGUGAAGAGACCAAUAUACCCUUUAAAACUAUUUUGAGUAUUUUCUAUCACAAUGUUUAACAAACUUUUUUAUCUUAAUUUUUUUUAAUAAUUAUUCUAAAAAUUUAUUAUUUUUAGAAAACUAUUUUUUUUAAAAAAAAUAUAUUCUAAAAAUAUAUCAUUUAAAAAAAAUAAUUUUGACAUAUUUUUAGUUAUUUUUUAUAUACACAAUUUUAAAUAUAUAUAUUUUUCAAGAUGUUUGAUUUUUAAAUAAUAAUAAUAAUAAUAAAUAAAUUUUUUUUUUUGGAAAAUGAUGUAUUUUUUUCCAAAUCACUAAAUUAAAUUAAAUUUUAUUGAGGUUUACAAAAGGAAUAAAAUUUAAAUUAAUGUUUUUCUACUCUUUUUUUUCACAGUCAAUAAAGGUUAUUUUUGGAAAGAUAAAAAAUUCAUAUCCUUCUUCUCAAUUUUCACAUUUUUUUUAGGUUUUGGGUUUAAAUGGUGUACUUAUGAGGAUCAAAGCUUAAUUUUUGGGUCCAACUAAGUGCAAAACACAAUUAUCCCUAUAAAAAAUCCUUGGUGUGAAAGGAAUACCAGUCUUCUUAUGUUUGACACUCUGGCUAAGCAUUUCCUUAAUUUCAGGGAUUCACACCUCACUGUUCUAUGGAUCAAAAUAAAGCUCAAUAAUACCAUACGGUCCAACAUUAGGUUGGUCCGCUUGCUUAUUUCCCCAGAACAAGGAAAUGGUUAAAAUAAGGCAUAAGACACGAAAACUAAAAAGAAACCAGUCUGGAAAGAAUGAAGAAACCUUCUUGUUCUCCUCAUUUCCUAGAAAGCAGUGCAUAAUUUGCAAAAAUUUAGUAAAAGAACCAAACAGAAAAUAAAAGUUAGAAAAAGUAGUCAGUUAUUCUUUGCCUCGCUAUCAUUGCAAUGUGUGGUAUGAGGUCGAUCAGGGCAAAAACAUAUCGCAUCAUUAUUUUCAUCAAACCCGCAAUGACCACCGCUUAGUUGGCACUCAACGUAGUUAAUACUGUUGAGGAGAAGAAAAAUGGUAUUCUUCUAUGUAUAAAAGAUACAACAGAUGAGGGUUAUAUAUAAUUUUGUACAUGAAGUUAAUUUGGAAGAAACUAAUCGCACUAAUCUAGGCUACAAUCUUGGAUGAUUUACAAUCAAAUAAAACUAACUUGGUAACUAGAAUAUUUUUAUUUCUGUAAUUGCUCCUUCAACAACUCACGUCAAUACUCCCCCUCAAGUUGAUGCAUAGAUAUCAUCAAUGCCCAAUUUGUCAAGCGAGUUGUGAAAUAUUUUGCUAGAGACAACCUUUGUAAGAAUAUCUGCUAGUUGAUCUUCUGACUUCACAAAAGGAAACUGAAUGACCUUGUCUUCGAGCUUCUGCUUGAUAAAAUGCCGAUCCACUUCAACAUGUUUGGUGCGGUCAUGUUGAACUGGGUUGUGCGCAAUUGCUAUGGCUGCCUUAUUAUCACAAAACAGGUUCAUUGUAUCCUGAGAUGAACACUCAAUUUCCUCUAAUAAUCUUUUUAACCAAAGUAGCUUACACAAUCCUUUAGUCAUGCCUCUAAACUCAACCUCUGCACUAAAUAAAGCAACUACCUUCUGUUUUUUACUCCUUCAAGUGACCAGAUUGCCUUCCACAAAUGUGAAGUAGCCCGAUGUAGAUUUUCUGUCAGUAAUGUUCCCUGCCCAGUCUGCGUCCAUAUAGCCGUCAAUGUGCAGAUGUUGGCUUUUCGUGAACAUCAAUCCUCUUCCUGGAGAAGACUUCAAGUACCGUAAAAUACGAACCACUGCACUCAUAUGAUCUUUGCUAGGACAAUGCAUGAAUUGACUCACCAAGCUCACCGCAUAAGCAAUAUCAGGCUGUGUAUGAGAUAAGUAUAUCAGCUUUCCCACAAGGCGUUGAUACCUUUCUUUAUUGGUAAGGGUCUGGUUAGGAAAUUCUCCCAAGCCAUGGUUUUGAACAAUUGGUGUAUCAGCAGGUCUACAAUCAAGCAUUCCUGUUUCAGACAACAAGUCAAGUACGUACUUUCAUUGGGAUAGAAAUAUGCCUCAUUUUGAUCGAGUUACUUCAAUCCCCAAAAAAUACUUCAACCCUCCAAGAUUUUUCAUCUCAAAUUUAGUUGCUAAAUGUUCUUGUAAUUUAGAGAUUUCUUCCUCGUCAUUUCCUAUAAUUAUCAUAUCAUCAACAUAGAUUAUUAGAGUCGUUACCUUCCCUCGUUGGUGCUUCAAGAAGAGAGUAUGAUCUGAAUUACUUUGCUUGAAACCGUGUUUUCUCAUGGCAAGGCUAAAUUGUCCAAACCAUGCUCUAGGAGACUGUUUCAAUCUGUAAAAAGUCUUUUGUAACUUGCAAACUACCUUCCCCUGUGUCGAAGAAACAAAACCCUGUGGAAUGUCCAUGUACACCUCAUCUUCAAGAUCCCCAUGGAAAAAGACAUUUUUGACAUCAAAUUGGUGCAACGGCCAGUCCAAGUUUGCAGCAAGAGAGAUUAGUACUCUCACAGUAUUUAAUUUUACUAUAGGUGAUAAAGUUUCUUGAUAAUCUACCCCAUAUGUCUGAGUAUAUCCCUUCGCAAUGAGCCUUACUUUAUAUCUUUCAACUGAUCCAUCUGUUUUGUGUUUGAUAGAGAACACCCAUCGACAUCCCACAGUUUUCUUUCCCUCAGGCAAUGGCACAAGCGCCCAAGUAUCAUUUUUCUGUAAUGCUUUCAUCUAUUCCUCUAUCACUUGGAUCCAUUUGGUAUUAUUCAUGGCUUCACUCACUGUAUCAGGAACACCAUUUGUAGAUAAUUUAUGAACCAAUGCCUUGAGAGGUUCAGACAAUUUUUGAGUUGAGAUAUGGUUGGCAAUUGGGUACUUUGACUUGUUCGUUCCAUGAUCGGGUGAAUAGCGGUUUGGUGGUUACUUGCGGUUAUGCCUGAAAGGUAGUUUAUAGACAACAGAAAUAUUGUGAGGAGAGUUUAGAACUUAUACCUUAGGAAUAUUCUCAGGAGAUUGGUCUAAUUGUGGUACUGUCAAGUCAUGGAAGGGUUGUUCACUUUCAAUUUCCGUAACUUCUUCAUUUUGAUCUACUUUUGUUGGUUGUUGUUCGAUCUCUGCUUCGACAUGCUCGGCAUUUUCAACUUCUCCUCUUUGAUCUAUCAGUAUUGCCAUUGGUUCUCUUGGCUGAACUUCCCUUAUAUCAUUUGAAGUUUCUUCGAAACCUGGUCAAUUUUCCCAAUUUUGCUCUUCACUCAUCAUCUCCCCCUGAAGAGAGGAGCAGGAAGAUUGAGAAGUGAAGAAAUUCUCCGAUUUAAUAAAGGUGACAUCCAUGGUGGUCUAGAGUCGCCUUAUAGUUGGAUCGUAACAUCGGUAUCCUUUCUUGUGAGCUACAUAGCCAAGAAAAACACAACGGACAACACAUGGAUCAAGCUUUGUCCGUUGAUUCUUGUGUAUAUGAACAUAUGUAACACAACCAAACUUUCUUAGAGGAAGCAUUAGAACUGAUGGUAAUGUCAUAUGUUGUGCGAGAACUUGAAGAGGGGUUUUGUAGUGCAAAACUUGUGAUGGCAGUUGGUUCAUUAAGUAUACAGUAGUCAUUACUGCAUCUGGCCAAAAUCGUUUAAGGACAUAAGCAGCAGUCAAGAGAGCUCGAGUGAUUUCCAAGAUGUGUCUAUUCUUGCGCUCUGCAACACCGUUCUGUUGCGGUGUUUGAGAACAAGAUGCCUCAUGAUGCAAACCAUGUUCCUGAAAGUAUCUGUGAAAUUGUGCAUUAUCAUAUUCCCCACCAUUAUCAGAUCAAAGAAUUUGAAUUUUAGCAAAAAAUUGUGUUCGAAUCAUAUUAUGAAAUGAUCGAAAUAUUUCAAACACUUCAUGUUUAUUUUUCAUCACAUAAAGCCAAGUCAUUCGUGUACAAUCAUCGACAAAGGUUACAAACCAGCGAACACCAAAAGAAAUAGUAAUAGGAGUAGGACCCCAAAUGUCAGAAUGAACAAUAAAAAAAGGAGUGUCACAUUUAUUCAAACUAAUUGAAUAAGGUACCCAAUGACUCUUAGCUUGAAUACAAGCUUCACACUUAAAAUCUGAGUCAUUAAACUUCAUAAAUAAAUCUGGAAAUAAACAUCUCAAAUACUGAAAUAAGGGAUGCCCCAACUGAUUAUGCCAUAACCAAAUCUGUCUUUCCUUAACUCCAGUAGAAUGCAUAUUAUUUGCUCGAUCAUAACUGAAAUCAUCCAUGUAAUACAACCCUUCCCUUUUAGUACCACGACCAAUAAUCUCCUUGGUGAGAAUAUCCUGAAACAAACAGAAGUUAGGAUACAUUAAAGCACAACAAUUCAAUUCCUCAGUCACUUGUCCAAUAGAUAACAAUUUAUUGGAAAGUGAUGGAACUAGUAAGGUAUUUGGUAAUGAAAAAGAAGGAGAAAGAGCCACUGUUCCAACCCCUGUUACUAGAUAUGUUACUCCAUUAGCAUUGGUAAUGCAUAUUCGUUUUGGUUGGGUGGCUUUAGAGAAGUCACAAAGGUCAAAGGUCAUGUGGUCUAUUGCCCCAGAGUCAAUGAUCCAACCAUCAUGGUUCCCCGUUUUCAAGCAAGAAAAAACAUAACCUUGGUUACCUGAGUCAUUCUGAGCAAUCUGUUCACUAGUGGAGAUAGAAGAUUCUUGUUGUGGUACGAGAGAUAGUUGAGGCUCUACGCUCAUAAGAGCUGCACGACCAGGAUUGUCGCCUCCACUUGCUUCACAUUUUUUCUUUGCCUUGAGUUCAUGCCACCAAUCUGGAUAACCAUGUAGUUUGAAGCAUGUUUCUUUGGUGUGUUUUGUAUUCCCACAAUGUGUGCAACCUCCUCCUUCCCCUUGUGACUUUGGUUUUGUGGUUGUGUUAGGAUUUCCAUUUGAUGACGUUUGAAAAGAUAAUUGGUGUUGAGGUUUAUGUCCUCCUCUUGAAAGCAUAGCACCACCAGAUAUGGUAUCUUUAUUCAUCAUCAUUACGGAUUGCCUCAAAUCCUCUCUUCAAACUUGUGCAUAAGCUUGUUCCACUGUUGGGAAUGGUUGUAUCUGUAGCACAUCUGCUCGGAUCUUGUCAAGCCGAUCAUCAAGUUCGUCUAAGAAGGUGUAGACUCUAUCCUCCUGCAAAACAGAGUUAUAUUUUUGUAUAUCAAUAUCAUAUUCCAUAGGAUUUGAUCGACGAAAGUCGAUUUCUCUCCACAAGCCUUGCAGAUUAUUGUAGUAUGUCUUGAUAGAUCCUCCUUCUUGUUUGAGUCUGGUUACUCUUCUUUUGAGAUCAUAUACUUGUGAUGUAUCAGUGCCAUCAAAGUACGUAAUAACAAUAUUAUCCCAAACAGCCUUAGCCAUUGAGAAUCUGAUAAAGUUACUAACUAACUUUGGAUCCAUAGAAUUGAUUAGCCAUCCCUUCACCAUUGCGUUUUCAGUUCUCCAUUUUUUGAAUGCAGGAUCUGUUUGCAGAGGCUGUGGAAGAUCUCCAUUUAUGUAUCCCAACUUGUCUUUACCUGAGAUAUACAUCUCGACAAUUUGAGACCAUAGUGCAUAAUUGGUACCAUCUAACUUGAUUCCAAUCUGUGUAGUAGGUUCAUGACUUGUGAUCUGGUUCUGAGUUUGGUUGUGGUUUAGUACUUGUGUCAUUCUUGUCGUAAGAUCUGCGAGAAUUGAAUUCUCCCAUUCGUGUUUUUCCACCCCAGUAGGAGGUGUUUCCAUUUUCCUCUUUCUGUUUUUUUUUUUUUUUCAGAAAUUCUAUGGCCCUAGAAUCUCUGCUCUAAUACCAUGUUGAGGAGAAGAAAAAUCGUAUUUUUCUAUAUAUAAAAGAUACAACAGAUGAGGGUUAUAUAUAACCUGUACAUAAAGUUAAUUUGGAAGAAACUAAUCACACUAAUCUAGGCUACAAUCUUGGAUGAUUUACAAUCAAAUAAAACUAACUUGGUAACUAGAAUAUUUUUAUUUCUAUAAUUGCUCCUUCAACAACUCACGUCAAUAGAUACCAGUCCAUUCAAGACUAAAUCUAUUCUUCAGUAACUCUAUAUAGUCCAUACUCUCCACUGUUUGACUAUAUUGCCUUCUCUCCCAAUCCACCGGUGCACCCACGUAUCUCUCACAAGCCAUCUCUUCAAGCAUUUUUUCAAAGUUCCAAUUCAUAUACCCAGUGUUCAAAACAACAACAGAAUAAAUUGUGGCAGUGGAAGCACAAGUUACUGGAGAAUGUGCGUAAAUUAGAGGUAUUGCUUUUGUGCAAUUAUAAAAUAAAAUAAGAUCAGCAAACUUGAUGGUAAAUUGAAUGGAAGAAAAAUCAAACACAAAAAAAAAAAAAUGUUGAGGGGCAACGCAGGCGGUGUUAACCACUUCCAGCUUGUUGACUAACCGAAGUGAUUGGGUCUCACAAGAGAUAUCUUCAAUGAAGUAAUCACUUCUGAAUGUCCAAAAAAGAGGCUUAUUUUCUUCACAAAAAAUUCCAAAGCCUGGGUAGCCACAGAAGUCUGUUUCAGUGUCAUAGAUACAAAACGGGUAGCUAUGAAAAAGUUGUAGGUAGCACCGGAUAUAUUAGCCAACUAUUGAUGCUACCUCCACAAAUAUCCAUCAUUUAUUCUCUAGUGUCUUGGUCACUGCUUCCCUCUUGAGGGAGUUAAGGAUAUCCAAGUAAUCCAAGACAGUCAAGGUGGCAAUAUACAUGACGAUAAAUUAAAAGGUCAAAGACAAUUAUAUAGUCAAGGUGAAUCGAGGUUGAUAACUUAGAGGCACACCUUUGAAUGAUAUAGUUCAGCCAGUAAAGCCAUCCAUGAAAGUAUGCAGAAUGAUCAAUUCCCUAUCUCGUAAAUAUUGUCUAUUCUUAUAAGGUCCCAUAAUUUUAAAGUGCCUCAAACGUGAUUAAGAGAAAUUUAUAUAUAUAUAUAUAUAUAUAUAUAUAUAUAUAUAUAUGCAUGGAAGAAAAUAUCGGUAAUCACGGAUAUAUCGGUACUUCGAUUUUACGGAUAUAUCGAAUAUAUCGGAGAUAUAUCGGCGGAUAUUCUGGAAAAAAAUAUCAGUAGACUUAAAAUUGUUAAAAACUCAUGGAAAUGCAAGAAAAACCUCAUAAUAAUAUAAUUAGAAGUAUAAUUGACAUUUUAAAGUUGUUUUAUUGAAAAAUUUGAUAUAUAUAUAUGAUAUAAUUUGCGAUAAUAGAUGUAAUUACAUCAUGUCGAUCUAUAAGAAAUGUUAAUUUUGUAAUUGUUCUCAGUCACAUAAAAUAUUUUAUUUCAUUAAAUAUCAAUAAUUUGUACACAUUAAAUUCAUUAAAUAAACAUAUUUCAUAUUCAAAAUAUACUAUUUCAUGUUAAUUAAAUUAAUUAAAUAAUUUAGCAUGUUAAUUAAAUUAAUUAAAUAAUUUAGCUAAGUUAACUAGUUUAAUUUAAUUCUAAAUGUGAAAAUAAAUCACAAAUAAUCAUCUAAAAUAAACAUAUCAAUUUAUAAUUAAAUAAUCAAAUUAACCUAAGUUAAUUCAAUAAAAAUAUAAAAAUUAAUUACAAUUGAAUGUAAAAAUAACAUUAAAUCAUCCAUAUUGCAAACAUACUAAUUAAACAAUAUAAAAUAAAUAAUGAUAUAUAUAUAUAAUUUUUUAAUAUUUAAUUAAUUAUUAAUGAUAUUAAAAACAUUAUGAAGAAAAUUAUAUAAUUUUUAUAUUUUUGGUAAUUAAUUAAAAGACUUUGCAUUUAAUUAUAAAGUAAUUAUAAUUAAUUUGCUAUUUAAAAUAUUCUUAUAUUAUCUUUAUAUAAUGAAUUUAAGUAUAUAUAUAGUUGUUGCAUAUUAUGUAUCAAAGGGCAACUUAGCCCAGGUGGUAAGCGGAUGAACCCCAAACCUUUUGGUUUGGGGUUCAAAUCCUCUCAGCAGCAAGAAAAUGGAGCCACUGUAGCGCGUUGGCGGGCACUGUAGCGGGUCUGACCCGCGUUGACCACACGAUAAUCACCGAUAUAUCGCGAGAAAUCUGCGAUUUCUCACGAGAAAUACCAAAAUAUCGCCGGACCGAUAUUUCUUCAUGAAAUAUCAUGUCGAAACCCUUCGAUACACGAUAUUUUCCUCCAUGUAUAUAUGACAUGAACUUUUUUUUUCUAAUUUAUGGGAGAUAUCAUAAUUAUCUUCUUUCAAGCAUAACAUUGUUGUUGUAUCUCACAAAAUUAUGAGGUCAAACAAAUGAAUAUCACUUGCGUAGCUAAACAAACUUACACAUUGAGGUUUUGAAUCAAUUUUAAUACUAUUUGUAACACUUUGUUCCCUUUUACAUAAAUAUUAUCCACUUUAAGCUCAAAAGGGUACCUAGUUAUUUGAUUCAGUAAUCUUAUGAGACACAAUGCAACGUCAUAUUUAUAAAGAGGAUGAUUAUAAUAUCCUACCCUGGAUAGGGAAAAAAUUUCUAAUUUUAUAUAUGUAUAGACUCUUCUAAACAAUAUAGAAGAAUUUUAAAGUCGUAAUUAUAUUCUUUUUGUUGCUUCACUUCAUAUUAUUUAUAUAUUUAAAAAACAUAUGAACUUAAAUAUUUUGUGUUAUUAAAAAUUAUUUUUAAAAUUUAAGAUCGCCGGACCGAUAUUUCUUCAUGAAAUAUCAUGUCGAAACCCUUCGAUACACGAUAUUUUCCUCCAUGUAUAUAUGACAUGAACUUUUUUUUUCUAAUUUAUGGGAGAUAUCAUAAUUAUCUUCUUUCAAGCAUAACAUUGUUGUUGUAUCUCACAAAAUUAUGAGGUCAAACAAAUGAAUAUCACUUGCGUAGCUAAACAAACUUACACAUUGAGGUUUUGAAUCAAUUUUAAUACUAUUUGUAACACUUUGUUCCCUUUUACAUAAAUAUUAUCCACUUUAAGCUCAAAAGGGUACCUAGUUAUUUGAUUCAGUAAUCUUAUGAGACACAAUGCAACGUCAUAUUUAUAAAGAGGAUGAUUAUAAUAUCCUACCCUGGAUAGGGAAAAAAUUUCUAAUUUUAUAUAUGUAUAGACUCUUCUAAACAAUAUAGAAGAAUUUUAAAGUCGUAAUUAUAUUCUUUUUGUUGCUUCACUUCAUAUUAUUUAUAUAUUUAAAAAACAUAUGAACUUAAAUAUUUUGUGUUAUUAAAAAUUAUUUUUAAAAUUUAAGGUAAUAUAAAUUUCUUAGUACUUUAACUUGUGAUAUUUACUUGUAAGAUAAAUAUCACUAUAUUUUAUAUAAAAAUUAUUGUUAUUAUUAUUUUAAGUUAAAAAAAGGACAUAUCCAAACAUCAUCUAAAUUAUAAGAAAGGAUUUAAAAACUAAAUUUUUAAUUAUAUAACUAGAUCGAUGAUUCCGUAUUCUAAUCACAAUCACAAGAGAGAACAAAACUAGCAAAAUAAAAACUGGGCAUAUUAAUGGCAGCUUCUUUAAACCAUGUUUUCUCUCUUUUAUCUGCUUAGCACGGCAGUUGACUUGGAAAUAAGAUACAAGAAGACUUGGGAAAGAGACUUUCUAUAGGAUGGGCCAAGAGUCUCUGCUAGCCCAUGUGAAAGGAGUUUCCAACUCACCUUCUCCAUUGCUUAGAAAGACUUGACUUCGUACAGCGCUUAAUGUUCAAAAUCAUGACAGUAUUUAACAAAGUCACGAGGACAUAAAAAAAUAUCGGUCUUGUGGAGCAAAAGUAGGAGACGGGGUAAAGGGAAAAGAGAAGACAUGAUGGGUCAUAGAUUAAUGGGUACUUUGGUAGUCCCUCGAUAUCAGGGACCCUUUCCUUGGUCAAGGGUAGGUGCGUUGUGAGAGGAAUUCUAGUCUUCAUAUGUUUGACACUGGCUACGGCUUUUCCUUAGUUUCAGGGAUUCACACCGCCCUUUUCUAUGGAUCAAAAUAAAGCUAAAAGAUAGCAUACGGUCCAAUGUCAGGUUGGUCCGCUUGCUUAUUACCCCAGAACAAGGAAAGGGUUAAAAUAAGCCAUAAGACAUGAGAACUAAAACCAAACCAGCCUACAAGGAAUGAAGAAACCUUCCGGUUCUCCUCAUUUCGUAGAGCACAUAAUUUGCAAAAACUUAGUAAAAGAACCAGACAGAAAAUAAAAGUUAGAAAAGGCUAUCAGUCAUUCUUUGCCUCGCCAUCAUUGCAAUGUGUGGUAUGAGGUCGAUCAGGACAAAAACAUACGGCAUCAUUAUUUUCAUCAAAUCAGCAAGGACCACCACUUGAUUGACACUCAACGCAGUUAAUACCAGUCCAUUCAAGACUAAAUCCAUUCUUCAAUAACUCUAUGUAGUCCAUAGCCUCCACCGUUUGAUUAUACUGCCUUCCCUCCCAAUCCACUGGUGUGCGCACGUACCUCUCACAGGCCAUCUCGUCAGCCAUUUUUAUGGAGUUCCAAUUCUGAUACCCAGUGUUCAAAACGGCAACAGAAUAAUUUGUGGCAGUGGAAGCACAAGUGACUGGAGAAUGUGUUGGGCUUUGUGGAGCCUAGUUUUGUUUGAUCCGGUUUGGCGAUCCGACCCGAAUAAUAUUGCAUGACCUUUUUAAUGGGAGAUUUAUUGAGGCAUGUUGGGCCCGUUUAGCCCAUUGUGGAACCACCUUUUGUAAUUAGGGUUUUUUUUAGUAUGGUAGGGUUGUCGUGCUAUAUAUAUAUAGAGAAUAUUGUAGCCGCCUAGUUGUACUCUGUAUUCUUCCCUGAUAAUAGUGAUAUCCCUGCAACUCCGUGGACGUAAGCAAAUUGCCGAACCACGUAAAUACCGUCUUGUGCGUGUGAUUGUUUUUCUUUGGCGUGUGUUUUUUCUCUAAUUUUUGUUUCUCACGGGUUGGGAAUUCGGUUUAAUUCCCUACAACUGGUAUCAGAGCCUAGGGUUAGGUUUGAGUGGGAGCAAUGGCAGAGGAAGCAGGAAAGGCGUCUGGAAUAGAAAAGUUUGAUGGCACAGACUUUGCGUAUUGGAGGAUGCAGAUUGAAGAUUAUCUCUAUGGGAGGAAAUUACAUCUGCCUCUUUUGGGGACAAAACCUGAGAUUAUAAAGGCUGAGGAAUGGGCGCUUCUUGACAGACAGGUUCUAGGAGUUAUUAGGUUAACUCUGUCUAGGUCUGUUGCACACAAUGUUGUAAAGGAGAAGACCACAGCAGAUCUGAUGAAGGCUUUGUCCGGUAUGUAUGAAAAGCCGUCCGCAAACAAUAAGGUGCAUCUGAUGAAGAAAUUGUUCAAUUUGAAGAUGGCAGAGAAUGCAUCAGUAGCACAACAUCUGAAUGAAUUUAAUACAAUCACAAAUCAAUUGUCGUCUGUAGAAAUUGAUUUUGAUGAUGAGAUUCGUGCUCUGAUUGUCUUGGCUUCUUUGCCAAACAGUUGGGAGGCAAUGAGGAUGGCAGUAAGCAAUUCUACGGGAAAGGAAAAACUCAAGUACAAUGAUAUACGAGAUUUAAUUCUGGCUGAGGAGAUUCGCCGAAGAGAUGCAGGUGAAACCUCAGGAUCUGGUUCUGCCCUAAACCUUGAGACAAGAAGUAGAGGUAAUAACAGAAAUUCAAAUCAAGGUAGAUCAAAUUCCAGAAAUUCUAAUCGGAACAGAAGCAAAUCUAGAUCAGGCCAACAAGUACAAUGCUGGAAUUGUGGGAAAACAGGUCACUUUAAAAGGCAAUGCAAAAGCCCUAAGAAGAAGAAUGAAGAUAAUUCUGCUGAUGCUGUAACAGAAGAGGUACAGGAUGCAUUACUUCUUGCAGUAGACAGUCCACUUGAUGAUUGGGUUUUGGAUUCAGGAGCUUCGUUUCAUACCACUCCACACCGAGAAAUCAUACAGAAUUAUGUUGCAGGUGAUUUUGGUAAGGUAUAUUUGGCUGAUGGUUCAACCUUGGAUGUUGUGGGUCUGGGAGAUGUCCGGAUAUCGUUGCCCAAUGGGUCUGUUUGGUUACUGGAGAAGGUUCGACAUAUUCCUGACCUGAGGAGGAAUCUGAUUUCUGUUGGACAACUUGAUGAUGAAGGACAUGCAAUACUAUUUGUUGGUGGUACUUGGAAGGUUACAAAGGGAGCUAGGGUAUUGGCUCGUGGAAAGAAGACUGGCACUCUGUAUAUGACCUCAUGUCCAAGAGACACAAUUGCAGUUGCUGAUGCAAGUACUGAUACAAGCCUAUGGCACCGCAGACUUGGUCACAUGAGUGAGAAAGGGAUGAAGAUGUUGCUGUCAAAAGGAAAACUACCAGAAUUGAAGUCCAUUGAUUUUGACAUGUGUGAAAGUUGCAUCUUAGGAAAGCAAAAAAAAGGUGAGCUUCUUGAAAACUGGCAGGACACCGAAGGCUGAAAAAUUGGAACUAGUACACACUGAUUUGUGGGGGCCUUCUCCGGUUGCAUCCCUAGGAGGUUCAAGGUACUACAUCACCUUUAUUGAUGACUCAAGUAGAAAGGUAUGGGUUUAUUUUCUGAAAAAUAAAUCUGAUGUAUUUGUAACUUUUAAGAAGUGGAAGGCCAUGGUUGAGACAGAAACAGGUUUGAAAGUAAAAUGUUUGAGGUCAGAUAAUGGAGGAGAGUACAUAGAUGGAGGAUUCAGUGAGUACUGUGCUGCACAGGGAAUUAGGAUGGAGAAGACCAUUCCUAGGACACCACAGCAGAAUGGUGUGGCUGAGCGCAUGAACAGAACUCUCAAUGAGCGUGCUAGAAGUAUGAGGUUGCAUACUGGACUACCAAAAACUUUUUGGGCUGAUGCUGUUAGCACUGCUGCUUACCUGAUAAACCGAUGACCAUCAGUUCCCAUGGAGUUCAGACUUCCUGAGGAGGUUUGGAGCGGUAAAGAGGUGAAGUUUUCACAUUUAAAAGUUUUUGGUUGUGUUUCUUAUGUUCAUAUUGAUUCUGAUGCUCGUAGUAAACUUGAUGCAAAAUCAAAAAUAUGUUUUUUCAUCGGCUAUGGUGAUGAGAAAUUUGGCUAUAGGUUUUGGGAUGAACAAAACAGGAAAAUUAUCAGAAGUAGAAAUGUGAUAUUUAAUGAACAGGUUAUGUACAAGGACAGGUUAACUGUAACGUUAGAUGUUACAGAGAUAGAUCAAAAGAAAUCUGAGUUUGUCAACUUAGAUGAAUUGACUGAAAGUACUGUCCAAAAAAGGGGUGAAGAAGAUAAGGAGAAUGUAAAUUCAAAGGUAGAUUUGAGGACACCUGUAGUUGAAGUUCGCAGAUCUUCCAGGAACAUUAGACCUCCACAGCGUUAUUCACCUGUUUUAAAUUAUCUCCUGUUGACUGAUGGUGGUGAGCCAGAGUGUUAUAAUGAAGCCUUGCAAGAUGAGAAUUCAAGCAAGUGGGAGUUAGCCAUGAAGGAUGAGAUGGAUUCCCUGCUGGGGAAUCAGACAUGGGAACUGACUGAAUUGCCAGUAGGAAAGAAGGCUUUGCACAACAAGUGGGUAUACAGAAUAAAGAAUGAGUAUGAUGGUAGCAAACGUUACAAGGCCAGAUUAGUGGUUAAAGGGUUCCAACAGAAGGAGGGCAUUGACUACACAGAGAUAUUUUCUCCAGUUGUGAAGAUGUCAACAAUUAGACUUGUACUUGGAAUGGUGGCUGUAGAAAACUUACAUCUUGAGCAGUUAGAUGUGAAGACAGCAUUCCUUCAUGGUGACUUGGAGGAAGACCUUUACAUGAUUCAGCCAGAAGGGUUCAUUGUUCAGGGACAAGAGAAUCUAGUCUGCAAACUGAGAAAGAGCUUGUAUGGCCUUAAACAAGCUCCUAGACAGUGGUACAAGAAGUUUGACAAUUUUAUGCAUAGAAUUGGGUUCAAGAGAUGUGAAGCUGAUCAUUGUUGCUAUGUUAAGUCCUUUGACAAUUCUUACAUCAUAUUACUGUUGUAUGUGGAUGAUAUGCUUAUUGCAGGGUCUGACAUUGAGAAGAUUAAUAAUCUGAAGAAGCAAUUGUCCAAACAGUUUGCAAUGAAGGAUUUGGGAGCUGCAAAGCAAAUCCUUGGUAUGAGAAUCAUUAGAGACAAGGCUAAUGGUACAUUGAAACUUUCACAGUCAGAGUAUGUGAAGAAAGUUCUCAGCAGGUUCAACAUGAAUGAAGCUAAACCAGUGAGCACACCCUUGGGUAGUCAUUUCAAACUAAGCAAAGAACAGUCAUCGAAGACAGAAGAAGAAAGGGACCAUAUGAGCAAGGUGCCCUAUGCCUCAGCUAUUGGCAGCUUGAUGUAUGCUAUGGUGUGUACAAGGUCAGACAUUGCACAUGCAGUGGGAGUUGUGAGCAGAUUCAUGAGUAGGCCUGGAAAGCAGCAUUGGGAGGCAGUCAAGUGGAUUUUAAGAUAUCUGAAGGGUUCAUUAGAUACAUGUCUUUGCUUCACAAGUGCAAGUUUGAAACUGUAGGGUUAUGUAGAUGCUGAUUUUGCUGGUGAUAUUGAUAGUAGAAAGAGUACUACUGGGUUUGUUUUUACUCUAGGUGGUACAGCUAUAUCAUGGACUUCAAAUCUACAGAAGAUUGUUACUUUGUCUACUACAGAAGCUGAGUAUGUUGCAGCAACUGAAGCUGGAAAGGAGAUGAUUUGGCUACAUGGUUUCUUAGAUGAAUUGGGUAAGAAGCAGGAGAUGGGCAUUCUACACAGUGACAGUCAGAGUGCAAUUUUUCUUGCCAAAAAUUCGGCUUUUCAUUCAAAGUCGAAACAUAUACAAACAAAAUACCACUUUAUCCGUUAUCUUGUUGAGGAUAAACUGGUAAUACUUGAGAAGAUUUGUGGAUCUAAGAACCCUGCAGACAUGUUGACUAAGGGUGUCACUAUUGAGAGGUUGAAGCUGUGCGCAGCUUCAAUUGGUCUUCUAGCUUGAGGACAGGAGGAUGAGUUGUAGGGAUGAGGGAUCGUUUCUUGGAGGAUAGCGGUUUGAUGUUUGUGAUUGGACUAGUCUCCAAGUGGGAGAUUUGUUGGGCUUUGUGGAGCCUAGUUUUGUUUGAUCCGGUUUGGCGACCCGACCCGAAUAAUAUUGCAUGGCCUUUUUAAUGGGAGAUUUAUUGAGGCAUGUUGGGCCCGUUUAGCCCAUUGUGGAACCACCUUUUGUAAUUAGGGUUUUUUUUAGUAUGGUAGGGUUGCCGUGCUAUAUAUAUAUAGAGAAUAUUGUAGCCGCCUAGUUGUACUCUGUAUUCUUCCCUGAUAAUAGUGAUAUCCCUGCAACUCCAUGGACGUAGGCAAAUUGCCGAACCACGUAAAUACUGUCUUGUGCGUGUGAUUGUUUUUCUUUGGCGUGUGUUUUUUCUCUAAUUUUUGUUUCUCACGGGUUGGGAAUUCGGUUUAAUUCCCUACAGAAUGUGCGUAAAGAAGAGGUACCCGUUUGGUGCAAUUAUAAAAUAAAAUAAGAUCAGCAAACUUGGUGGCAAAUUUGAAGGAAGAACUAUCAAAAGCAAAAUAACGUUGAGGAGCAACACAGAGGGUGUUAACCACUUCCACGUUGACCAACCGAAAUGAUUGGAUCUCAUAAGAGAUAGUUUCAAUGAAGUAAUCACUUCUGGAUAUUCUAAAGAGAAGUUUAUUUUCUUCACAAAAAUUCCAAAGCUUGGGUAGCCACAGAAGUCUAUUUCAGUAUCAUAGAUAUAAAACGGGUAGCUUAUGUUUGGACCACUCCCACAGUUCUUAGGUUUGCAAGCUUCAUGAUUGUGGUCAACCGGUGCAUAUGACUCCGCUACAAAGGUGCUAAUGAGGAUACUGUUCCUCACAUAGAACAAGUAGUAUAGACACAUAUGGAUGGAGAUUGUUGGAGAACAAGGAACCUAGAGAAAAAGGAACUAUGAAGGCGUGCCACGUGAAGAGUAACCCAGAGUGACAUUUACAAGUCACCUUCAAUGAUUCAUAAAUCUCUCUCCAUUGGGUGUUUAAUUUGACUGGAUUUGCAAUGCUUCAUCUAGACUUCAAAUAUUCUACAGAAUCUACGGGCCUUAAACCCUCUCUUUUCAAAGAGGAUUUACAAUAUGUAUAAUAUUGCAAACUAAAUAUAUAAAACACGUGAUGUCUUCGUCCGGAAAAGCCCUUAGUUGGACUGCAGACAUUAGACUCUAUGUGACUUGUACUCUUCCCAAACAACAAACGAUAAUGACAAAAACUAUGGAAUUUAUAUAUAACUCGAAAUUUCUUGGGAGGAUUGAGGAGGAGAAGUGUCCAAUGCAAGUUGAAGUUUCCAUAACUUAUUGCAUGCCUUUGGAGUUGCAGAACACACUUUUGGUCAAGGUCUUCCCCUGCCUAGCUGGUUAUGAGAAAAGACACCUUCAUUUAGGUUAAUGGAUGGAUUUGGACUUUGGCCCUGGGAUGGAAAUAUCAUGAUUCUUGUAUUUAAUUUUUUAAAUUUAAUUAUUAACACUUAAAAUUAAGGAGGCCGUUUCUAGAUUUCAACAAAAUCCUCUUACUCAUAUUUUAUUCUGAUCAUUGUCCCGGACUCGUUACAUUCCAAAUCACAUUUUCUUUUUAAAUAUUACACUAUUGGAUAGAAUCAUCGCCCUGGUCCCUAUGGCCAUCAUUUCAUGUCACCUUGAGCAAGAUAAGCAUAUACUAGUACAAAUGCAGAAUAAUUUUCAAGAUUUUUGUUAGAAGUUUGGUAUUCAAUAACUGUGUUACUAAAUCACAUUCUUCAAAUUAUUUUAUUGGGACAAUCAUUAAUUCUGUUCAAAAUUUACUAAUUUCUAUUUUUUUUUCUUUUCUUAUGAGUAAGACAACUUAUAUUUGAUAGUGAGAUUAAGACAAUCUUUCAAUUAAUAGUUUCUAAUUAACAAAAUUCAACCGUAAACUCGAGUCCAUGAUAUCUCCCUAACAAUUUAAUAGUUUAGUAGAUAUAAUCUAUAAGACAAUCCUCAUUUAAUUCAAUUAUAAUGUUAAGACCAGUUGUGUUUCCUAGGUAGGGAAUCAUACGAUAAGAUUGCAUAUAAUACUUCCUUAUGCAUAGGAAUAUGUUUUAGCCUUGGAAUGCUUACCUUUAUUUUAGUGUGUAUAGGUUAUUAAAAUAUCCACAUGAGCUUCACAACUAAUAUAAAAUUUUGAGUCAUAAAUAUUAUCCCCUCUAAGCCCAAAAGGGUAUCUAGCUAUUUGAUCCAGUAAUCUUAUGAGACAAUGCAACAUUAUAUUUGUAGUGGGGAUGAUUAUAAUAUUUCACACUGAAUGAGAAAAAAAGUUUUUAAUUCUAUAUAGAUGAAUUUUAAAGUAGUGAUUAUAUUCUUUUUGUUGUUUCACUUCAUAUUAUUUAUAUAUUUAAAAAACAUAUGAACUUAAAUAUUUUGUGUUAUUUAAAAUUAUUUUUAAAAUUUUAGGUAAUAUAAAUUUCUUAAUACUUUAACUUGUAAGAUAAAUAUCACUAUAUUUUAUAUAAAAAUUAUUGUUAUUAUUAUUUUAAGUUAAAAAAAAAACAUAUCCAAACAUCAUCUAAAUUAUAAGAAAGGAUCUAAAAACUAAAGUUUUAAUUAUAUAACUAGAUGGAUGAUUCCGUAUUGUAAUCACAAUCACAAGACAGACCAAAACUAGCAAAAUCAAAACUGGGCAUAGCAAUGGCAGCUUCUUUAACUUGGUAUAUUCCCCUCAGACCUUAAAUCCAGUAGACAAUGAAUCUGAGAUUCAUCUCUGGUACAUGGACAACAAAACAAAGAUAGGAAGAUGAGAAAGAACAUUAACCCUUUAAUUCAUUUACAUCUGGUUACAUGUUUCACAUAUUGUUAGCAUCUCCAUCGGAAAAUAAGCAAAAUACAAGGGAAACGUUAAGCACUGGCGCUUGGUGUAGUAGACAUACUGGGCCAUCGAGCGAUCACAGUAUCUGGUGAUGGCAUCAGCGGGGCACUUUUCAACAACCCCACUUCAUCACAAUCUGGUGAAGGUGAUGGCGGCUUACGCAUGGAGGAUCCAACACUGUCCGCUGCUGUGUCCAUGUUCUCCAAUUCAUGCUUGUCACUCUCAAUUUCCUUCAAAAUCUCCAAGACUUCAUCCAUGGAAGGCCUCAUUUCCUUAUCAGGUUGCAGACAGCGAAAGGCCAAUUCUGCCACCAGAGUAGUCAUCCUAUUAACCGCAAGAUCUGAAUCAAAUCCAAGAUGCGGGUCCAUCAGCUCGUGAAAUGCGCAUUUUUGUAUCUUGUUUAUAGCGUAGUUAGACAAAUUGAUCUCAUGCCUGUGCCUACUAAUGUCUACAGCAGGCAGUGAUGAUAUGAGUUCAAUAAGGACAACCCCAAAGCUGUAAACAUCGCUCUUAUCUGUAAGCUGGUAACAUUGGUGAUAUUCUGGAUCAACAUAGCCGGGAGUCCCUUGUGGAGCGGUUGAGACAUGGGUAACAUCGGUGGGGAAGAGUCGUGAAAGCCCGAAAUCUGCGACUUUAACACAGAAACUAUUGUCUAGGAGAAUGUUGCUAGUUUUCACGUCCCGGUGUACAACAUCAGAAGCAUGGAGAUAACAUAAUGCGGUGGCAGUUUCUAUGGCAAUACUCAAUCGGAUAGGCCAUGUGAGUAAGCCUGAAUCUGCUCGAUCCCCGUGGAGAUGAUCAGCGACUGUGCCAUUGGGAAUAAAUUCGUAAACCAGAAGGAGUUCACGGCUGUGGCGUGAGGUGCAGCCGUAAAGGGAGACAAGAUUCCGGUGGCGUAAACGAGUGAGGAUUUGAACUUCAUUCAUGAACUGUUCAACCCGCCUGUAAUUGUUCUCGUAUAGGCGCUUGACAGCAACCUCUCGCCCAUCUCGCAGUUGUCCUAUUUGACAAAGAUCAAAGAAUAGCCUCUUUAAAAGGGAGACAAAUUUGUCGUUUAAGAGUUUUUUUUUUUUUUUUUUGGCUAAGCAUUUUCCUAGUGAUUAGGAAAAUUAUUAACAGAAUCACAGUUGUCCAUCACCUUACCAUGGUAUACACUUCCAAAGCCUCCAUCUCCAAUUUCUCUGUCAGGGUCAAAAUAAUUAGUGGCUUCUUCAAGUUCAGUGUAGGGGAAUAUGGCGAUGCCAAAAUACGCCCCCGCUGUUUCCAACCCUGGUUGUGAAGAGGGAUCUGAAGAAGUGUUCCUUGAGAGGAAAGUUGAAGCAUACUUCCCUUUACGGCGCUGCCGGAUGAUAAAGAAACAAAUUAUUAAGAAGGGAAUGCUUCCGACAAUACCUGUAGUGGGCAAAAAGACUAUAGUCAAACUUAAGGCCAACUACAUUAAUGCUAAGAGAGUUUUCCACUAAGAACAUAUGGAAACAAAUACAUAAAAGAAUUGGAUGUUAACAAGUUCAUGUUUAAAGAUCUUAGUGGAAAUUGAUUUUGUAUUGUAUAUCUGCAAAGAAGAUGGUGAGAAAUUGAAAUUUGAUCAUUACCAAAAUCCCCAAUUAAAGAGAAAAAUCUUUAUAUCUAUAUAAGAUAAUGUUGAAAACUAUCACAAAUUCCUAAUUAGUGUAGAUUUAUUUUUGUAAAAAAUAUUAUAUAAAAUAUUUCUGAUAUAUGGUUUUAAUAUUAGACUUUCUUAUAGAAUAAGGAAGGUUGUAAGAAAUAUUUUUAUAAAUAUUUUAAGUCAUAAAGAAAAGAAAAUGGGUCUGAGAAGAAUAUGUAUAAUGGAUAGAAAUAUGAGGGCGAAUGUGAGAUACAUUCUCUCAUCGGUAGAUACAGGUAUAGUUGGCCGAACCAUAUCAAAACCUAGCACUGUGUGUGUAAUUAUUUUAUUUUUGUGUUAUUAACGUAAUAAUGUUUGCGUGAAAGCUUUACGGGCACAACAAAUAAACUCAUUUCAAAUGCUAAAAAGUGCAAUAGAUCAUGGAUUAAUUGGAUUCGGUUGGUGUUCAGACACAUGCAGUGAACAAAUAUUUUUAUCCACGAGAAUCUUAGUAAAGAAGCAUAUUACCUAAUCCUAGGGCUAGCUUCAGUGUCUUGUCAUUUCCUGCAAGACAAGUAACAAAUAGCAACAAUAUUAGUUUAAAAAGUAAACAUUGUAUUAAUGUACAUCAUUUCGGUAUUCUCCAGAACAUUAAAGAGUACACUUUGAAAAGAAGAGUCAAAACCUGCUUCUGCAAAUCUAAUAUAGAUUACAUUGCACAAACAUCAAUUUUCUCAUACCAGAGCCCUACAGUUAGAAGAGAGGAAUUCACGCUACAUCCCUGGCAGCAGAUGAAUGCAAAAGAAAAAAACAAAACAAAACAAAAAAAACAAGAAUAAAGGAAACGCAAAAAAAAAGAAAAAAAAAAGAGGAGAGAUUGUUAUAUGUGUUGUGCACCCUUUACAUGUGCACACUUGAAUUUUCCCUUUUUAUCAUCUUGGCAUUGGCCUCCUCUAGGCGACAGUCCCUACAGUGUUUGGACACAUGCACUUUAAGAGUGAUAUCAGAGGUCAACAGGGGAAACAGGUUAGCUAUAUCUAAACUCAUGUUUACUGGAUACUGAAUAAUUGAACAGUGGGGUGGAGGUGGAGGAAUGGAAGUAUGAUUUAGAUGAUUAUAGUGGAUAAUGAAGUCAAGAAAACUGGUAUAGGGUGCGUACGGGUAUGAAGGAAAUGGAAGGAGAAAGGGAAGAAGUUAUGUUGUUGAUGAAGUCACAUCUGCGGUGUUUCAACUGCCCUUGAAGCUGCUGAUCUUGAAUUACUAUCGUACCAGCCUGAGAGAUGUUUUUCACCCCAAAAUAUCUUCCUCCCCUUUCCAGUUGGAUCCAUGGAAGCUCUUCAGUACAUCUUGUUACCGUGCACAAUCCGCAUUCUGGGUUUUUUUCAGUGUUGAAGGGAAAAUGAAGCCAGCCCAGUUUUUCACAGUCGAAGGGUGGACAAUUUGGAGAGUGUUUCCUUUCUUCUUCUUCAGGAGGGUGCUUCCUUUCUUCUUCAGUGGAAGGAGGGUGUUUCCUUUCUUCUUCAGCAAAAGAAAGAAGCACAGAAAGAGAGAGAAGAAAUAGAACACGAAAAUAAACAAAACCCAUGCGCAAUCCCCAAUUCAACUACAAAAGCAUUGGCACCAUACCAACAGCAGGUACGAAUUAUCUGACAUAAACAAGGUAAUCCUCCUCUCCCUUUAAACCACGUUUUCUCUCCUUUAUCUGCUUAGCACGGCAGUCGACUUAGAAAUGAGAUACUUUCUACGGGAUGGGCCAGGAGUCUUUUGUAGCCCAUGUGAAAUAGGCCAUCAUUUUCCAUUGGCCUACAAAUAGACACCCCAAUCCUCAAUGGGAGCUUCCAACUCACCUUCUACAUUGCUUAGAAAGACUUGACUUGCUGCAGCUCUUAAUGUUCAAAAUCAGGACAUCGAAACAGAGUGGCAAGAGGUCUUGGGAAAGAGACUUUCUAUGGGAUGGGCCAAGAGUCUUUUGUAGCCCAUGUGAAAUAGGCCAUCAUUUUCCAUUGGCCAACAAACAGACACCCCAAUCCACAAUGGGAGUUUCCAACUCACCUUCUACAUUGCUUAGAAAGACUUGACUUGCUGCAGCUCUUAAUGUUCAAAAUCAGGACAUAAAAACAGAGUGGUCUUGUGGAGCAAAAGUAGAAGACGGGGUAAAGGGAAAAGAGAAAACAUGAUAGGUCAUGGAUUAAUGGGUACUUAGGUAGCCCCUCAAUAUCAGGUAAGCCUUUCCCGCGGCAAGGAUAGGCGCAUGUGCGAGGAAGUCUAGUCUUGAUAUGCUUGGCACUCGGGCCAUGCCUUUUCCUUAGUUUCAGGGAUUCACACCUCCCUUUUCUGUGGAUCAAAAUAAAGCUCAAAGAUAGUGCACAGCUUCAACGACAGGUUGGUCCGCUUGCUUAUUACCCCAGAACAAGGAAAGGGUUCAAAUAAGCCAUAAGGCAUGAGAACUAAAACCAAACCAGCCUAGAAGGGAUGAAGAAACCUUCAUGUUCUCCUCAUUUUGUAGAGAGGAGUGCGUAAUUUGCAAAAAUUUAGUAAAAGAAUCAAACAGAUAAUAAAAGUAAGAAAAGGCAGUCAUCCUUUGCCUUUGCCUUACCGUCAUUGCAAUGUGUGGUAUGAGGUCGAUCAGGGCAAAAACAUACGGCUUCAUUAUUUUCAUCAAACCCACAACGACCACCACUUAGUUGGCACUCAACGCAGUUAAUACCAGUCCAUUGAAGGCUAAAUCCAUUCUUCAGUAACUCCAUGCAGUCCAUAGUCUCCACUGUUUGACUAUACUGCCUUUCCUCCAAAUCCACUGGUGCGCCCACUUACCUCUCACAGGCCAUCUCUUCAGCCAUUUUAGUACAGUUCCAAUCCUCAAACCCAGUGUUCAAAACGGCAACAAAAUAAUUUGUGGCAAUGGAAGCACAAGUGACUGGAGAAUGUGCUUAACCAAGAGGUACCCAUUUUUUGCAAUUAUAAAAUAAAAUAAGAUCAGCAAACUUGGUGGUAAAUUUGAAGAAGAACUAUCAAAAGCAAAAUAAUGUUGAGGAGCAACACAGAGGGUGUUAACCACUUCCACGUUGACCAACCGAAAUGAUUGGAUCUCAUGAGAGAUAGUUUCAAUGAAGUAAUCAUUUCUGGAUGUUGUAAAAAGAGGCUUGUUUUCUUCACAAAGAAUUCCAAAGCCUGGGUAACCACAGAAGUCUGUUUCGUUGUCAUAGAUAUAAAACGGGUAGCUUAAGUUUGGGCCACUCCCACAGUUCUUAGGCUUGCAAGCUUCAUACUUCGGGUCAACCGGUGCAUAUGACUCCGCUACAAAGGUGCAAAUGAGAUACUGAUCCCAACAUAGAACAAGUAGUGUAGACCCAUUUGGGUGGACAUUGUUGAAGAACAAGGAGCCGGGAGAAAAAGGGACUAUAAAGGUGUGAAGAGUAACCCAGAAUGACAUUUGCAAAUCACCUUCAAUGAUUCAAAAAGCUCUCUCCAUUGGGUGUUUAAUUUGACUGGAUUUACAAUGUUUCAUCUAGAAUUCAACUAUUGUACAAUAUCUUUCGGCCAUAAACCCUCUCUUUCCAAAAAGGAUUUUUAAUAUGUAUAAUAUUGCAAACCACAUAUACAAAACACAUGAUGUGUUCAUCCGGAAAAGCCCUUUGGUUAGUUGGACCGGAGACAUUAGACUCUAUGUAACUUGCACUCAUCCGAAACAACAAACAAUAACGACAAAAACCAUGGAAUUUAUAUAUAACUUGAAAUUUUCUUGGGAGGACUGAGGAGGAGAAUGGUCCCAGUAGAAGUUUCAAUAUCUCAUAGCCUUGGAGCUGCAGAACUGACUUUUGGUCAAGGUCUUCCAAACCUAGCCGGUUAUGAGAAAAGACACUUCCUUUUAGCUUUAAUGGGUGGAUUUGGACUUUGGCCCUGGGAUGGAGAUAUCAUGAUUCUUUUGUUUUAUUUUUUUAAUUCAAUUAUUAACACUUCAAAUUAGGGUGUUUCUAUAUUUCAACUAAAUGCUUUUACUCCUAUUUUAUUCCGAGUCCCAAAGUCUUUAGACUCUUUACUUUCUAAAUCACAUUUUAUUUUUAAAUAUUACAGUAACGAAUAGAAUCAUUUCCCCUGGGCUCCUCUAGUCAUCAUCUCAUGUCACCUUAAGCAUAAUAAACAUAUAUAACACAAAUGCAAAAUAAUUUUUGAUAUUUUUGUUAGAGGUUUGACAUUCAAUAAUCGGCUUAUUAUUAAGGCCUUAAUAAAAUACAUACAACUCUCCUAAAAUAAUUUUCUCAAGCAAUGGUAGGCAACAUGCGAUGGUCAAAGGAUCCCACAUAUAUGUUACUAAAUCACAUCCUUCAAAUUAUUGUGCUUGUACAAUCAUUAAUUUCUAUUCAAAAUUUGCAAAUUUCUAUGAGCAAGACAAUGCAUAUUUUAUAAUGAAUUUAAGACACUUAAUUUGAUUAACAAUGUUAAAUCAACAAAGUUAACCAUAAACUCCAAUCCAUAAUAUCUUCCCAGCAAAUAAAUAGUUCUUUAGAUAUAAUCAAUAAGACAAUCGUCAUUUGAUUCAAUGAUAACAUUAAUACCAGUUGUGUUUCUUAGCAAGAGAAUCAUAUGAUAUAAUUGCAUAUAAUACUUCUUUAUGCAGUCAUUGGUAAACCAAUGGUAUAUGUUUUAGUCCUAGAAUGCUCAGCUUUAUUUUAGUGUGCAUACGUUAUUAAAAUAUCCGGUACAUGAGCUUGACAACUAAUAUAAAAUUUGAAUCAUAGUUUUAGUCAUUAAAUUGACCAUAAGGUUUAAGGUAACUAUUUCCAAUGUUGCACUAGUUAUAAGCUAUUUUUAAAUCUCUAUUCUCUACGUCUUAUAAAAUUUUAAAAUUGGGGUGUUUGUUUUAACAAUACUAAUUAUUCAUACUCAAUACUUCACAACUCCCCGGUGGAGAUAGGCUGAGGGCAAGGAUAAGGAUAAGAACAAAAAGAAAAAGUUCAUGCCCAUAGAUAAAUCUUUCCUAUAACAUGAUCCACAUUAGGUGUGAGACUGUUCCCAAAAAUAGCCCUCGGCACAUUGAUAUAGAAAAAGGGCAAUAGGAGACAUGUGUUGAAUCUCCUUAACUGCUAAACUCUCUCAAGGUGGAAGUUGUGUUCAAGACACUUGAGAAUAGAUGCCUAAUAUUUAUGGAGGUAGCAUUAACAGGUGCUCCAUAUGUCUGGUGAUAAAUACUAGUGCCACCAUUUUCAAGGAAGACUAAAGUGAUUCUAAUAAUGACAGACACUAAGAUUAACACAGCAUUCAUCUUUGACAUGAAAAUAAGGAGGGGUAUUGAGUAGGGAGUGACAUCUAGCUGCACCAAAGGGUGAGAGACCUAAUUGCACUUCCAGUGAAACCAAGUUGAUCACAGGAAUGAGUUGAUUGGAAUAGAAAUACUUAGGGAACUCCAAAAAAGCGCCUAGAAGGGAAGCGGCGUGCUGCAAGCUAAGGCAGGAGACCUAGCAACACAACAUAUGUGUCACUCCAUGAUAAAGAGUAGAGCCAACCAAUCAACCGAAAAGAACUUCUGGAGAGUAGAGCUUGUUGGGAGCCGACUGACAGUUUGUGGCAAUUAAUGGAUUGGGUAGGGAAAAUUAACGAUUUUCCUUUUCUAGAUUUUUCCAAGUAGUUGCGUGUGUUCCAAAACUUUGGAAAUCUUUUGGCUUGAGACCCUUGGAAUCUUGCGUUAUAUUAGUACUCUAGAAUGUCGUGAAGAAAUAUUAAAAUGAUCCAAGUUACAUACCCCACCUAAGAAACGUAGGAAUCUGGGAACUUUUGAAAUACUUACUAUAAAUAAGAGACGCUUUUUGUUUAAUCUCUUAGGAAGUAGCUUAUACAGUAAAGUUCCCAGUAUUAUUACAUCAUCCUGUGUAUCAUUUGGUCCAUAGACUCCAUACAUCAAAUAGAACUUCUCCGGAUAAGCCCAUUAAUGAAACGGUCAAUGGAAGGUAGAGCCUAAGAAUUUGUAAUACGAAGAAAACAAUCCCCCAAGCCAUGAAUUUAGAAUUCCGCCAAAUUAUAGACUAGAAUAGACCACACCAAAUUCAUGGGCAAGAAUCUGGAGGCUCAAGGAGAAUGCAGCUAAUGGUAUACCGAAUACGUCCAAAGGGGCUGGCAGCCUGGCACCAGGCACCGCCCCAAUCCUCGAAAAACAUUGCGCCACGUGGGAAAUAGCAUUAACCCGCACUGAAACGUGUAAUUUGUUCUAACCUCACAUCACUGACGAACUAACAUUAUUGAUAUGAUAAAUAGCCAUAUGUCAUAAGCGAUGGCAACUCAUUUGAUUUUUAAGAAAAUAAAACUACUCCACAGGUUUGACCAGUCAUCUUUUAACCUUGACCUUUUAUUUUCUAUUUUGGCCCCACUCGCUUAUGAAAGUUACCAUUUCGCACUUUGCUUCUCCUUUCCUAGCUAGCGACGGUAAUUAACCAUAAAUGUGGAAUUGACGUUGGUAGAGGUGUGAAUGAGGAUGGGGACGGGGAUGGGGAUGGGGAUAGGGAUAAGGACGAUGAAACGACAUGUUGCAAUCAUUUUUCCGUCAAUUUAUAGAGAGAAAAUAGAGAGAGGGGAACUUACUGGAUACGCAAUGCUUAGCGUGAGGACGGUCGGGGCAGAAACACUUGAAAUGGUAAUCACUGAUAUUAAACCCACACUUGCCACCACUCUCCUCGCACACGCUACAGUCGCUUGCUCUCCAUUUCAGCAUGAACCCUCUUCUCACCAAUUCCUCCCCAAUUUCAUUACUCCCAUCAUCUGCCUUCUCUUCAAAAGGCGCUUUUACCUCUCUUCCGCACUUCUCGGACGCCAGAACCCAGUUUGAAUCUCCCUUAGACAUUGCCAGAACCGGACUUGCUCCAUCAUCGCCAGAACAAUUAAUCUUGUAGCGUACUAGAUUAUCAGGCAAUGGAGCUGAACAAUUGGAUAGAAAGAAGAAGAAGUCGGUGCCAUCAGGAUGAGCGAGCUCAAAUUCUUCAUUGGGAAGGAGUAGGUCGCGACCCAAAGGAAGGCAGCCAUUUCCUAAGGCGUUUGAGACUCGAAGAGUCUGGUUUUGGUAGAAAAUUUGGUGGAUGAUGUAAGGGUUCUCGGAUAUGGUGAGAAUUGUAGUGUUAUGGAGGCAGGAAACGUUGAACCCAAGGUAGCCACAGAUAGGGUCUUGCAGGCCUUCAAUAUAAAAAGGGAAGCUUAUAUUUAAACCACCGCAGGUUCUGCUUAGGCUGCAGGUCUCGAAGUAUGGAUCCACGCAUAGUGAUUUUUCCAGUAGGAAGAAGAAAAUGAAGAUGGCGAGGUGCAUCAGCAGCGAUAAGGGUAUUCUGGUGUGGAUCAUUUUUGGGGAUCUUGAGGGUGAGGUUGAAUACAGAUAAUGAAAGAAGAC
rnacentral:lncRNA from 1 species